AAAGUUUGAGUUUAAAAAUAAUUUAUUCUAUUUAGAAGAAAAAUUAUAUAUUUCAAAAGACAAAGCAUGAUUAUGUUUUUUUUAAGCUCCUCAUGACUUUCUAGCAACCACACAUUUUGGAUACAAUAAGACUUUGGAGUUAAUAUUAUGAAAUUUUUGGCGGUCUCAAAUAUAAAAGGUGGUUAAAAACUUUGUACAAUCAUAUGAUAUUUGUUCAAGUUCAAAAAAUCCUUAUUAUUAACCUAAUAGACUUCUUCAGCCAUUACCUAUUUUAGAUCAACUAUAGUCUUCUAUUUCUAUGGAUUUUAUUACGGAUCUUCUAGUCUCAAGUUUGUAUGAUUCUAUAUUUAUGAUAAUAGACUAUUUUAUUAAGAUGGCAUAUUUUGUACUAUAUAAAAAAUUUAUCAGAAGUAAAAAAAUAACUAAGUUUUUUUUUGAUAACAUCUAUUGCUAUUAUGAAUUAUCUAAGGAUAUUAUAUUAAAUAAAGAUAUUCAAUUUUCAUCAAGAUUUUUAAGAAUCCUUUUUAAGAUUCUAAAUUUGGAUAUAAAGCUCUCUUUGGCUUUUUAUCUUCAAACUAAUAGAUAAAUAAAACAAAUGAAAGAAGUUCUGAAAUAAUAUUUGAGGUAUACCAUCAAUUAUCAUCAAGAUGAUUGGACAACUCUUUUGUCAUUCGUAAAGUUUGCAUAUAAUAAUUUGGUAUAUUUUUCUAUUCAACAAACACCUUUUUUUUUUGCUAAUUAUGGUUAUCAUCUAUAACUUGAUACAUUUGACUUUUCAAAAAUUGAUAAUCUUAUAGCAAAAGUUUUAACAAAUCAUUUGUGAGAGCUACAUGCAAUAAUAAAGGCAUAAUUAAAAGAAACUUAAGAAUGACAAAAGAUCAACAUAGAUGCCUAUUGCAAAGAACAACAAUUCAAUGUAGGUAAUAAGGUAUGAUUAUUUUGUCACAAUAUUAAGACUACUCGUGCUUAUAACAAGUUGGACUAUUAUAGAUUUGGACCUUUAUUUAUUUGUGAAUAAGUCAAAGAUGUUGCUUAUUAAUUAUAUCUAUCGGAUUCUAUAAAGAUCCAUUUUGUAUUCCAUGUAACUUCUUUUGAGCCAUAUAAGAAAAUAAAUAUCUUAGAAAAAAGAAAAAUACCAUCUUCUCUUUGAAAAGUGGAUAAUAAUCAAGAGUUUGAAGUGGAAGAAGUCUUAGAUUCAAAGCAAUACCAAAAUAGGUUGAAAUAUCUUAUUUAUUGAUGUAGAUCUGAUAUUAAUCAAUACACAUGGGAGCUAAGAAAGAAUCUUACAAAUGUAGCAAAGAAAGUUGAGGCUUUUCAUUGACACCAUCCAUCAAAAUCAAGAUGAAGAAUUGCAAGAUUCAUGAAAGAUAAUGAUUGCUCCUUAUGGAAUUCAUCCUUAGAAGAAGAAAUAAUGUCAUGGACAUACACAUUUACUCCAAUAGUUACUUAUAUGAUUAGAUAAAAGUAAAUAAAUAUAAAUUAAUUUCACAAUAUCUUCUAAAGAAGCUUUUUAGAAGCUAUAUAGUUAGAAUUUUGACUUUAUAGGUGUUUGUAGUUAAUUGAUAGGUUAGAAAAUUGAUCAAUAAGCUAAUCAUGUUAGUAACUUAUAAAACAAGUUAACUAUGUGGUGCGCAUAUAGAUAACUUGUCUUGCAAAUUAAGACAUAUGUCUAAUAAAAUCAACAUAUGCUAGAGGUCCUAUAGAAGAUUACCACGUAUCUUCUUAUUAGAGAGUAUAUAUAGAGGCAAGAGUGAAGCCUUCCUAUUCUUGCCAAUGCCUUUUUAGUUCUUAGUUUUGUUUCAAGACUUUUUAGACUUCUUAUCUUUAGCAAGAGCCAUUCCAGUUCAAUAUGUUACCAUCUUUGAAUAAUUUUUUAAUCUUUUCAAGUAACACAAGAGUAUAUUGAGGAUUUCUUUCUUUAAAAUCCAUGUCUUUGAUAAGUAGAACUCAAUUUUAUCAUAGUCUUGAAAACAUUUCUAAAACAUCCUAAAAUAUUUUAAAUAAAUUCUAAAUAAAUUAUAAUUUUUUAUAAUAUUCUUAUUAUGCUAAUAUCAAUUUAAAUUUAUAUUUUUUAUUUCAAUAUUUUUAUAAUAAUAAAAUUAAUCUAAAUCAACGAUUUUUUUUUAUUGAAAUAAGUAAAAAGAUAUAAAAUUCUUCUUUAUAUUUUUUAUUAAUUAUUAUUUAAAAUUAAUAGUUUUUUAUAAAUAAAAUAUAUUAUAAAAAUCUAAUAUAGAUAUUAAUCUCAAUAAUUAACUAUUAAUACUUUAAAAUACUUAAAAAUUCUAAAUCAACUAAGAUAAUUACCUUAAAGAAUUUUUAAGAUUUUAUUUUUGUAAUGUUUUUUAAUAAGAAUUUUUUAAUUUUUUAAUAUUUUUAAAUUAUGAAAAAUACUUAAAUAAUCAAAAAUAUUCUUGAAGCUUAAUAUUUUUAUAAUUAAAUGACUUCAAAUUAUAUUCUUAAUUAAUUUAUCAAUUUAGAUCCAUUAGUAGGAUUUAUAUAAUAUACUUUAAUCCAAUCAUAUUAUUUUUUUUUAAACUUUUGAAUUCUAAAAAUAAGAUAUUUUUAAGUGAUAUUUUAAAUUAGAUGAUUUUUUAAACAAAAUAUAAUGAUUUUAUUAUUACAUUUUUAAAUUUUUUAGAAUACAAAAAAAUAAAUAAAUUAAAAGGUCUAUGUCUUAUAAAUAAAUCAUUACAUAAAAUCUUGUCAAAAAAUUUACAAGAGAAGAUAAAAAAAAUUAUGUAACUUGUGUAUUUUAAUUUUGAAAAGUUAUAAAAUAAAAUGGCUUUAUUUUUUCAACAAUUAAUUGGAAAUCAAGAAAAUUUAAUGGAUGUCUAUAUUAAGAUCUUUUAUGAAAGAAAUUCCAUAAUUUUUAUCAUUUCAAAUUAUAAACAUGUAAAUAGCACGUAAUUGCUUUAAGGCCAAGGUUAUUAAAGAUUUUAUAAUUAAGAUAUGCAAGUAAUAACUAUAAAAAAAAAUAUUAGUAGUAUAUUAAAGACAUCUUAAAAAGAAUACAGAGCUGAAAAUAUAACUUAAUUUUAUUUAAAUUCUUAUUUUUAAUUUUUCUUUUAUAAAAUAAUAUUAUUUUUUAUUCUUUUCAAUCACAUUCUUUAACUUUGGUUAAUUUUCUUCUAUAAAGAAAGAAAUCUAUAAUUAUUUAUUGAAUGUUUCUUGAGAUAAUAAUUUCAUUAAAUUUAGUCCUUAAAACAAUUUAAAAUGGUACAAAUUUUUUUUAUUUCGUACACAAUAGGAUGAAUUAAGUCAUUAUUUUAAUUUUCAAUUAUGUAUAAGUUAAUAAUAUUAUUCUUAAAAAUUGAAUAGCUAAUAUCUUUAAAGAAAUUGGAUUUGUUGAAUUACACAAGCUUGCAAUAACUACCAAUUGGGAUUGGCCAAUUUAUAAAUUUGACAACUUUAGAAUUAUAAGGAUGCAAAAGCUUGCAAUAUUUACUUAUUAAGAUUAGUUAAUUGGUACAUUUGAUAACCUUAGAUUUGACAUUUUAUAUAAGACUGCUACAAUUAUUGAUUGAAAUUGGCCAACUGAUGAAUUUGAUAAACUUAAAAUUAUGAGGAUAUAAAAGCUUACAACAAAUAUUAAUUGAAAUUGAGAAAUUAGUGAGUUUGACAACCUUAGAUUUGUCAAAAUGUGAAAGCUUGUAACAACUAUCAGUUGAGAUUGGCUAACUUGUGAAUUUAACUACUUUAGAUUUAUUGGAUGUAAAAACUUGUAACAACUACUAAUUAAGAUUGACAAGUUGGUAAAUUUAACAAUCAUAUAUACUACUUAUAUCAAUAAACUUAAGUUGAACAUAUCAAUUUAACUUUUUAAUUUUAUUUUCUAUCUUUAAAUAUUUAUAGCUUAUUUAAUUUAAUUUAAAUUUAUAUAUUUUUAAUUUAUUAAAAAAAAAUAUUUCUAAAAAUAUUUUUUUAUUGAAUAAAAAUCAAUUGAAUAGAUUAUAAGUAGUUUUUGGAGUGUGUAAUUAUUUAAUUGUAUUUUUUUAAUUCAAAUAGAUAUUUUUUUUUAAUCAUAAAUUAUAUCUUUCAAUUCAUACCACCAAGUACAAAGAACUUUUAAUUGAAGCUAUGUUGUAAUUUGAGUUGAAGAAUGAAUUUUACACUCACAUCUUGGCAUUAUCAAAAUAUAUAAGUUUGCAAUGGUUAUCAAUUGACAAUGGCUAAUUUAUAAAUUUUUAUUUUUUUCUUGGUUUGAAUAUAUUUAAUUAAUAUUUGAUAUUAAUUAUUACUAUUAUAUUAUAAAAGAAAUAAAUUAAAAUCUUAAGUAAACUUGUAAUCAAUUAAUAUUCUAAUACAAAAGGAUUUAAUUGAAUAUUAAACUCUUUUUUAGAAUAAAAUUAUAAUAUAACAAUAUGUUUUAAAAGAGUCGAAUUAAAAAUAUUAUAGAAAAUUACUUUAAAAACAUAAGUAAAAAUCAAGGAGGUUCUAAAAAUAAUUUAAUUCUAAUUUUUUAUUAUUUAAAAAAAAUUCUAGUUAUUUCAUAGUAUCAUAAAUAAGAUAAAAAAGUAAAUUAGUAAAAAUAAUAUUAUAGUUAUUUUUAGAUAAAAUUAAAAAAUAUAUUUUAUCAAAAAUUACCUAAAAAAAAUUUAGAUUGAUAUUUUAAAAGAAUCAAUCAUGAAUUAGAAUUGAAACCAAAUCCUAAAGCAUAAAAUUGUAAACAUAUGGAAAAUAUAAGAUUUUUUUUAAUGACUUUGUAAGAACUUUGCAAAGUUAAGAUUUUUUUAGGUGGUUUUUUUUAAAUAAAAAAGUGGAAUUUUUUUUUAGGUUUUAUAGAAAAUCUUUUAUUAAAAAUUAUUGAUUUUUAAAAAAAAAAUUAUUAAAAUUUUUUAUAAAAUAAAAAUUGAUCUAAAAAUUAAAUAAAAGAUUAUUAAAUUUUAAGUUGAUUAUGGUCUUAGAAAUUGGAUUUUGAAGAUUAGUAAGAGAUUCUAUGAUUUUGAAAAUUUUGCUCAUUAGAUUGAAAUGGAUUUUUUGUAUGUUGUUAUUAGACUUAUUUUCUAAUAUUUUUUUAAAUUAUUAGAAAAAAUAAAAAAUACAAAAGAAAGUUAUUAAUGUUAGAAGAUUGACAUCAAGAUUGAAGAAGGAUGACAAUCAACAAUCUUAAAUAAAUUUCUAGUAGAUUAGAAGCCUUUUUUUUCCAAAGUAGAAGUUUAAUUUUUUAAAAUAUUUUAUGCUUAUUUAUAAAUAGUAGAUUGAGGAGUAUGAUAGGUUUGAAUUAAAAUAAAUAAUUAAAUUAGUAUUUAUUAUGAAUUUAAAUAUGAUAUAUAUUUUAUUUAAAAUUUGAUUAGAAUUUUAUUAAGAAUUGAUAAGAUUUAUUCAAGAUUUGAUUACAAUUUGAUUAGGAUUUUUUAAGAUUUGAUUAAAAUUUGGAUAGGAUUUAAUUAGAAUUUAUAAGAAUUUGAUUAAGAUUUUUUAAGAUUUACUUAAAAUGUAUGAAGAUUUUAUUAGGAUUUUUUAAAACUGAUUAGGAUUUAGUUAAGAUUUCUUGAAGGUCUUUUAUGUUUUAAUGAUGAUUUCUUAAUAAAAAAUUUAAGAUUUGAUUAUAGUUAUUAAGGAUUAUUUAAGAUUUAUUUGAAAUUAAUUAGAAUGUAAUAAGGUAUUUUAAGUAUUUUUCUAAAAUUGAUAAAGUAUACUUAAUAUAAUUAGAAGAUUAUUUAAAUUAUUUAGUACUAAUAAAGCUUAGAUUACUUUUAAUACUAGCUUUGCAAUGUUGGUUGUGGAUAUAGUGACAAUUGAGAGAAUGGUAGAGCUCUAUUAAUUGUAGUACUAUUAUUGACAUCUUUUACAUGGAUGAUUAAUGGAGGAAAGAAGUCAACAAUCUUUGGCAUCUUUGAGCAAUUUGAAAUAUAUAUUGUUAUAUUAAAGAACGUGGUGAAGAAGCUAUAAUUAUAAUAUUUGCACUUAAAUUUUUUUAACUUGAAUUAAUUAUCUAUAUAUUUAUGAUCAAAAUGCUGUCAAUAGGCAUUCUUCUUAUACCUAACCCUCUUUGAGUUUUUCAACAUCAUUCCUAAAAAAUUAAAUGAUUAUUGCAAUAGGUAAGAUAUGUCAAAUGACAACAAACAAGUGCAAUAAAUUUAGGAUUCUUAUUCAACUUCCUAAAAUAUCCAAAAUUUAUAAAAAAAAAACUUUAUAAAUUAAUCUCAAAUAAAUAUAUAUAUAUAUAUAUAUAUAUAUAUAUAGUUUUAAAAUAUUUUUAUUUUGCCACUUUAAUCAAAAUAAUAUAUAUAUAUAUAUAUAUAUAUAUAUAUAAUUUAAAAUACAACAACUAAAUUAGUUUUGAUUGUAUAAAAUUCUUUUAAGUUGUUUUUUUUAUUUGUCUUGCAAACCAAGUUAAACAUAACCACAAGUUAAAUAAUAAUUAAAUUAUUCUAUUUAAUCAUUUAUUUAUAUAUAAAAUUCAGAAUUAAAAAUAGAUAUUUUAUUUCAAAAUUUUAAAUAGCAAUAUUAAAAAGGUAGAUAUAGAAUAACUAUCUUACUUAUUCACUGAAUAUUCAUAAUGCAAGAAUUUUUGCUAUUGAUUAUACUUAAAGCUUAUCAUUGCUGAAUCAAUUUGUAUAGCAACAUUCUAAUUUCAUAACUUGUGGUUUGCAGAUUUGAUGGUAUAUGUCACGCAUGGUUCAUGCAUGACGUGAAAAUGUCUUCUUCAAUGUCUGGAAAAUCAAACUUUGUAAUGUUGGGUCAUUGAAUUGGAAGAUGUGAUCUAUAAUGACUCAGUGAAUUGAGUUCAUUAAAUUCAAAAAAAUUGUUGUGUGUUAUUUGUUCUAUGAUUUUUUCACAGACAUUUGCAAUGAAAAGAUUUGAACUAAAAGAAUUGUAUGCAAAGAGUUCAGCUUAGAAUCCACAUGUUGCAUCAAGUUUUAAUUUUGAUAAAAUCUACAGAUGAAUGAUUUGAAAAAUACAGAACAAUGCAUGUGUAUGGUUUAUAAGUUUUUUAAAAGGAAAAUUUUCAAUUAUAUCCUUGAAAUAUGUAGAAAUAACAAGAAUAUCCUUAUAUUCUUGAUAAUUAUACAUGUAUCCUUGAGUUUUCUAAAAAUUUCAAAAAUAUCCUUGGACUUAAUAUCUUAUCAAAAUAUUCCAGCUUUAAUCCAUUUAGAGAUCCAAUCUAUGCACCAUAAAAUAUAUAGUAUAGAACUUCUAGGAAUAGGUCCUACAUCCCUCCGUUUAUAUUAAAACUUUGAGCAAAGUUACAUGAUUAUGAAUUCAUUGUUCAAAAUCCAUUGUCACUCAUCUAGAAGAAAGUUGCAUGAAGAGGCCUUUACAAUCACCAUGCUUGAGAUCUCAUGAAAAAUUCUAACAUAUGUAAUGCUACUUGUAGCUUGUAGUGACUACAUUGAGAUAUGCAUCAUUUAAUUGUUAGUCAGACAAAUACUUCAUUUGAAAUUAUAAUUUUUUGAUUUCAUUUAAAGUUCAAAUUGAUCUUAUUGAACAAAACACAACAUACACUUGCAGCAUACAUCUAGUUCAAAUAAAACUAGUGAUAUUAUUGACUUGAGGUAUGAUUUUAUACAAUUGAUUGUAUUCUAUCAUAACAUAGUUGUUAUUAGAUAUAUAUUGGUAGAAAUUUUCACUUUGUGUUCUAGUAUCCUUCUUCUUUGUUGUAAUAACAACCCAAUUUUUGUUUUUGCUUCUUUGUAAGAAGAUAUAAUGAUUCUACCUUGAUAUAUUUGUAAGAAGUUUAUAUGUGUUGUUGUUUUCCUCGAGACAUGCACACAUGAAGACAUACACUCUGGUGUUUCUUUUUGAAUAAAUAUGCUAGAUGAACUAACUUGGAUUGAAUUCCUUCUUGGAGUACUAAAGCAUGUCAAUGUAGAUCUUUACACUGAGAUCAAGCCUAAUGCAUCAACAACUAUGUUAUGAGUGGAUUUAGAUUGCAACUUAUAAGUGGGUCAUCAUUUGUGUUAAGAAUAUUAAAAGUAGAUUUGAAGAGCCUUGGUUUGCAUCAAAUCCUUCAAUUCAUUUGGAUUGAAAUGGAAUUUAGUUUCUGACUAAUCUCUAAGUGUGUUAUUAGAGUAGCUUAUAAAUCGGCUAUUUUAUGAAAUGAGAUUAAAACGGGUGUAAAGAGAUAAGUAUCUUUACAGUGAGAGGGUUGAUUCUUCAGUACUUAAUUGGCUUCAAUUAAUAUUACUAUAUGCCAAAACAUGAAAUUAAGAUUGGAUUUUUUUUAUUCUAAUAUAAGAAGAAAAAGCCUCUUUUUUCAUUAGAAUAAAAAAAAAUCCAAUCUUUUUCUUUUUUUUCUUUAUUUCUUUUUCUUUUGUAAAAGCAUGUUUAUGGUACUACAUUUGUAUAUAUAUUAUGAGGCUUAGAAGUGUUAUAUAUACAUAUAUAUAUAUAUACAUAUAGAUAUAAUUUACACAAAUUAUAAAACACACCGUGUACUAAAGGUUGAAAAUAGUUAUUAAUUAAAUCUGAGCUGCAAAGCACUAUAUUGGUAUUUUUAAUAGCAUUUAUGAUAAACAUAUAUUAUUAAUUUUCCGGAAUUUAUUUUUAGAAUACAGUUACAUUUGAACUUUCAAUAGUAAUAAUGAAAGUACAUAUUUACACGUACUUUCAUAAAUUUUAAGAAAUAAUAAAUACUUGUAAUUUUUUUUUUAUUUCAAAUCAAAAAUCGUACCUGUUUCUUGUACCAUGUAGCCAGAUGGAGCCUAAACGCCACUUAUAGAUUAAAGCAAACGUCAUACAACAGAAGUAAAAACAACAUGAAUAUAUAAUAGCAAAAAAAUUAUUAUUUGAGACCAUUAAUAUAGAUUUAAGUAUUGCACAAAAUUAUGGUAACUCGCAAUUUUGUGGUGGUCUGACUUCUCAAGGUUUUUUUUGAAAAUAAUUUAGCACCAUUACUGCUUAUUGAAAAUAAUUACGAAUAAUAAUAUCGAAGUACAAUACUUUAGUAAGUAUAAUUUAACAACAAAUAAAAAAGAUUUUUUAUUGAACAUAAAAUCAUACACAUGCAAAGAAACUUAUAUAGAGUACAAUUAUUUUACAAAUAUAUAACCAAUUGUUUCUAAAAUUAAAUACAUUUUUUAAUUUUAAUGCUUUAAUUUUAAUGUAAAAAUAAAAUAAAAUAAAAUAUUAUAUUAUCAACUUGUAAAAUGAUUACAUUGUAAAGGUUUUCUUGCUAUACCUCAAAAAAAAUUAAUGAACAUGGCAGUACACAAUCAAACUUUUAUUGUAAUUAAUAAAAAAUCUUAUGUUCUUUGUUGUAAGUUUAUAAUUUAACAGUAGUCAUUUGAUAAUUAAAAAUAUAUAUAUUUUUUAAAUUUAACUCACAAUGUCUUCAUAAUUUGAUUUAAAAUAUAGCAAUUAAGAAUGAAAUUAAAUAUCAGAUUAAGCAGCAUAUUAGCACUGGAACCAAAUUAGAUCCUUGCAUAUUAAGUGAUUAUGCUAUAUACUCUUGCGUUGACUACAUCUAAAUACUCUUUAGCUAUUUUCAUAUCCUUAGUACAAAUGAGAUGCUUUUUUGGAUAGAUAGGUGGAUGUUGUAUGAAGGAUAGUAGAAUUAGAGCAACAUCAAUUUUAUUGUUCCUUGCUUCCCUCCAAUAUUCAAUCGAUGGUAUUGGGAUGAUGGCUAUUGCAUAAAUUGCUUGUUGAGCUUGAGCAGUAUGAAAAUAAGCAAUGUAAUUGACAAUAGAUUAUUGCAUAAAUAGUACAUUGUUAAUUGUAUGUAUACAUGGAAUUUUAGAUAACUGCCAUCAUUUGCAAGUGCAUGUGCAAUUUUGCAAAUUCACAAUAUUAAAUGACUGCCUCGACAUGCAAUAGAAGAUAGUAUUAGAUGAAAGAAUGAUGAAGUAACCUCGUGCAAAUAUUAGUGACCAUUAAAUCUUCUACUAUACAGUAAUUGAAAAUGGUCGAGUAAUUAUGUUAGCAAUAAUAUGUUACUCAUUGUACCAUGCUAUGAGUUGCCAAUGAAUUGUUUUUAGCAUUGGAAUUAACAAAAAUUUAAAGACUUUACAAUAUUUAGAGUGAUGUGGCCAAAUUGAUUUUUGUCAAAUUGUAACAAUGCCUAAUAUUGUAGUCCAAUGCUCAUCAAAUACUCUAUAGCUUCUUCAAAUAGAGUAUAGAUUUUUAAAAAUUUGAUGUUGAAAUCUGAAAUAGUUGGUACUUAUGUUAUUGCCUAAAGAUAUUAUAUAAGCAUUGUAUUCUUGAAUUAUUUUUACAAGUUGUCUACUAAAUGGUACAUACAAAAUGUGUGUUUGCAUGUUGGAAAUGGAAUGUUGAUUGCAUCAAUAAGACCUUUUUGAUGAUCAAACAAAAAUGUGAACUUCAAAAGUUUGGAGUUUAAUGGACUAGAUGUAAGAAUUGUUGUCUUCAGUUUUUGCAAGAACCACAACCAAUUGUCAUUACUUUUAGCAUUCACAAUGCUAAAUGUAAUAGGAAAUAGUUACCUCUCUACAUUGAUUAUUAUAGCUACAAAAAAUACUCUACAAUAUUUAUAUUUUAGAUAGGUGUUGUCUAUGUUAAUCAUGAAUUGACAAUAUUACAAGCCAUAUAAGCUUACAUUAUAAGUAACAAACAAUUGAUAAAAGUAAUUUUCUUCAUCAACUUUUAAUUUUACAUAACUCUCAAGAUUUGUUGUCUUGAUUUGAUGAUAAUACACUUUUAAGUCAUUAAGUUGUCUUGAUAAGUACAAAUUAGCUCAAAAAUUAUUUUUUCUUUUGUACACCAUCUCAUUAAGUAUGAUAUUGUAAUGCCAUUAUUAUAUCAAAUAUAUUUUAAAAUAUCUACAACUUUGUAUUGUGAAAUCUCUUUCAAUUUGUUCUUUAGUUUGCUUUCUACCCAACUAGUCCUUGCAUAUUGGUUGUCUAAGUGCUUAGCACCAAUGUUUGUGUAUAUUGAGACAUAUGUCCUAAUCUCAAAUUCAUUUAAAAAUAUUGAGUGAAACUGUAAUAUAUGAGGUCUCUAUUUGCAAUUGUCAUUGCAACACUUUACAAUAUAUCUUCUUUGCUUAGAUUUGAUAAUAGAUAUUUUAUGAUGCUUGCUAAUUAUAUUUUGAGCUAUGGCUUGCUUCAAUUCAUUACUACUACUACUACUACUACUACUACUAAAAGUAAUAUCUACAAUAAGAGCACUUGUCAUUUUAAAGUAAAAUUUUUUCUUAGCAAAUUUUUCAAAAGACAAAUCUUUUUAAUAUGAAUGUAUCAAUCAAUAAUGGCUUGAUUGAAAUAGAAACUCUAGAGCAUUUAAUUGCAUGAUGUUGCUUCAAUGUGGAAUUGGCUAAUUUAGCUAUAAGAGUUUCAUCUACAUCUAAGUCAACAUAAGGUUAUAAACUUACCUUGUUAGCUCAAAAUUAUAAAUUAUAAGUAUAUUUUUAUCUAGUUCGACUUGAAAUUUGACAUGAUUUCUUAUAAGGAGUUUGUAAGUAAAUGGUGAAAGCUAGUAUGGGCAUACUACUAGCAAAUAUAUUAAUGAAUUUGAAAAUUCUUCAUCAAAGUUGCUAGAAACUAAGAUUUUAGAUAUGUUGUAGGACUGGGUAUGUGUUAACUUGAUAUAGAAGUGACAGUAGUUGCUCCUUUGAAAGUUAUUUAAUAUUAUGAACCUUAACAAAUUUGUAUGAGCUGAUAAACAGAAACUAGCAAUUCGGAGUAGCUACAUAAUGGAUUGGAGUACAAAAUGGGUUGGGAUAGAAAGAAGAAGCAUAAAUUCACCAAUACUUGUAGUUCUAUGCCAUGACUUCAAUUUUGGACAAUUUAAUUGGGAGCACAAUUGUAUGAAGAGACAUCACAAUUGACUUUAAGCACUAGCAGCAGAUUUUUCAUUUUUCUCUUACUAUUUAGAAUAUUUGUGGAAAAAGUGCAUCAUUGGUGAUAUACAAGAUAAGCACAAGUGACUUUUUCCAAAUUUUUUGUGAGCCAAGAGCAACAAUUUUUGAGUCAAGAGCAAUGCUCUUUGUACUAAUGGACGAAACACGUGCAAUAGCUGCAUCCCUAAGAUAACCUCGUUUUUUUUUAAGCCAGUUACAAAUGAAAUUAGAGAACUUGCUAUUGAAAAUCAAAAUCGCAUCUUUUGUUUAUAAUGAAAAACAAUAGGCAAAGGAAUCACGAAGAAAGUAUGAAUCAUGUAAGAAUGAGGGCCUGAGCAAACAAUUCACGGAACAUGCCCUAAUUGAAUAAUGCAAGAAUGAUGUGUGACAUGAGUAUACACACACAUUAACAAAAACAAUUUACAGAAUAAAAUAAAAAGAAAGUCAAAAGAACAAAAUCUGCAACAGAAUAUUUACAAUAAGCACAAUAUUUAAUACUUUAAUCUCUCCUUUUACAAAUAAUCUCUGUUGCCCAAUAAUCAUCCUUAUUACAAAUUGAAAUUCUUGUAUACAGUGAACAAUAACAAUAGACAUGUAGAUAAUCCAAACAUGAAAUAUCACAAACAAACCAAUUGUUAUUGCUGAAUUUGUAUUCAGCAUCCACAAUAAACCAUCUAAGACUUAAUAUUUCUUUUAAAAUUCUAAUACUUGUCUCAAAUGUGAAAAUGAAUCAAACUCACAAAUUUGAACAAAAAGAUAACAAUUAUUUGAGCAUAUUUUAUUAGGAGAUCUUGCAAUUGGUUAGUAAAAGAAUAGCGCACACAACUGCAAAACAUUCAAAAUUAGAUUCAAGUACAAAAUCACAAAGAACAAAAAUCAAACAAAAAUAGAGAAACUCACUCUAUUCUUGAUCAAGCUCCUUCCAAAUGACCCACACACAUUGCCUGUCUUCAUGCAUACACAAUAGAUGUCGAGAGGAGAAGGAGGCGCACCGAAGAUAUCAAAAGGAGGAGAGGCUGAAUAUAUAGAAGGAAGUAGCCUCUCACUGUUUUGUGUUAUAUUUUCCGAUUUCCUCACUAAAAAUAGAAUGCAAUCAAUUGUAUACAGCCCUACCUUGAGUCAACAGUACCACUGGUUUUGUUUAAACUAGAUACGAAUUGCAAGUGUGUUGUAUUUUGUUCAAUAAGAUCAAUUUGAGCUAAAUUGGAUAUACAAGAAUAGGAGCUAGAUCGAUUACAAGAUUAGGAGCUAGAUCGAUGAAACUUGUGAAUGCUUUUGUUGACCAAAAUGCCGAUUUUUGAAUGUUGCGAUCUUCAUUGCGAAAUUAGGGCUGUGACGCAACAUCAGAAGUCUUGCUUAGGGUAUGCUGAGUGACCUCGUAAUUGAAGCCAUGAGGAACUAGCAUCCAAAUUUCUUAAGGAGAGAAGCAUUCUCAGCAAGUUCUUGGUCACCGAAUAUUUGAUUCUGCAUUUAUUGCGACUGCUUACUGCGAACCACACAAGAUUAGUCUAGACUUGUCAUCUCAAUGAUGCCGUUGUGAAAUCAUGCAAACCGCAAGACUUUGAGGUCUGAAUUCCCGCAUUAAGACAGAUUGGAACACUUCAGCAGUGUCAGAAUGAGAGACGUGAGCACGAUUCUCCACAUCAAUCCAUCAAACCACAAAAUUAUUCGCAUCCAACCCCUGACAUUGAUCAGUCAAUUGCUGCGUUGGACGAGGACAACGAAGACUUUGCAGUGCCUUCUUCAAGAGAAAGAGAGUGCAAACGCGUUGAGCAUUCCAUGGGGUGUAAAUCCCCAGAAGGUGCAUAGAAAUAUUCCUAAUUCCGAGCAAUCCGACACAUCCUUUAUUAUCGAACAUACACAACGUGGGUAACUGGCACAAUGACCAGGACUGGCCCUGUGCGUGGUUACGAGUUAUUGAUUGAUUAUUUGCUUGAACUCGAGGUAUCCCCAGCUAAGCACAUUCCGCAAUGUGAAAUUCCUCAACUACAAUCCCAGGUCUUGAUUGAUGAACUUGAUUCAAGGUGAGUCGGUUCAUGUGAGCAACCUCCACACCCUCACAAAGACAGUUAAUGCAGUGCUGUGCACACCAGCUAACAUCCUGGAGGAGGCAUUAAAAUGGAGCUGGAUCUUGCACUGUUUAAGACUCUGCCGAUCAAUACCUGCUGCAGUCGCCACUCUUACGCUUGGGCAUAGUCAGAUCCGCAGUCGCUGUGAUCCAAACGGGUCUCUCUAUAACGACCUAGAGUUGUAGCUGCUGUCGUGCACGAUGAAGUCAGUUCAAGCUAUGGUCGUGUUGCUACUGUUGGCAGCUCUGUUGGAGUGUGUUCAACAUUCAGAGGCAGGUCGAACGAUGCUAACUGUUGGAUCAGAAAAGACUUUGAGCAGCCUGUUGCCUAGCUGCUCGCCUCCUCCUGCCCCAGUGGACGUUCCUUACACUCCCACCACACCUGACACUACCUCUCCCUCCACUCAUGAUACCUACACUCCGACUACUCCGACUACUCCAUCUGAGCCUUCUCCGGUGUAUAGCAGCCCACCUCCCGCUGAUGGAUACUAGCAACCUUGAGCUCUUGCUUCGGCGGUGCACGGCGUGAAAACAAGUGAGUCUCGGUCCUUCAUGUAGAGGGUGAGGUGUUGCACGUAUGUGACAUGGAUAUGAAAUUCUCAGGAUGUUAUAUGUAGUGUAACUGAUCGCCGUUUUGCUCGCGCUUGCAUUAUGGCUAAGGUUGACACAUACGAAUGUAAGCCUCAAACAAAACGUUUCGGUAUGGUGGCUUGCAGGAAUUUUUGCAUCGCACUCGCUUGAUGUGUGACGUGGAAUCUGGUCACCACGACUGGCUUGUAAAAGCACGCCGAAGUUGGAGAAGUUGUUGACGCUGAUCUGGUUUAGUGCAUGGCACCUUUCUUUGUAGAUCCAGAGAGAGUGCCUUCGUUCUAUUCAGAAGGGGUAGCGUACAUUUGUUGCUGGAUUCCUUGUAGGCUAAAGUAAGAUUUUAUUUAAUAUUUGAGCUCAGAAGUAGUAUCUCACAAAAUGCAUACAUCGUUUAGAUCCACUUGUCAUUCAUGUCAAUUUUUCGUGUUUCUAUCACAAUCAUUUCAUAAAGUAAAAUUUGGAGCUCUGUCCCUGUUAUCAUAGAAAUGUUUAGCAUGAUAAAUGAAAUUUCUACCAAGAAAUCACCAAGACCAAUCAAAUCACCAUUAUCCUGGAAAGAGUUCACUUUCUCCGAUCUCAGGAAGUAAUCACGACCAGCUCAUGGACAAAAGCAACUUGCGAGACUCCAGUUUUGAUUGAAGAAUUGAAGACAACAGCAUAGCUCUUGUAUUUGAUAUUGGUAGACAGCGUAUUUGAUAUUGGUAGACACUCUCAGAACCCUAGUUUGGUUGCAUCAUCUAAAUGAACUAUUCAAGCUGCCCGUUUUCCCACUUCAGAAUCCUAGCAGGACUCAAGCUCUAAUACAAUAUCGUAGCGCAUUUAGUAAUUGUAUAUUGUGCAAAUCAAACAGUUCCUACACACGUACACCCACCCUUGAUUAGGAUUAAAUUAAUCAAAGCGAAGCUUCUCAACACCACCUCACCCCACCAUCCACAGGCUGAGAAGCACAUUCUUGACUGUCAUGUCAUGAUUCCAAUUCAUUCAGGUCUUGAAAGACUGCGUGGCCUCCUCCGCUUCCCCUGUAGCCUCUCCCUCGGGCUCUAUCGCCUUGCAAGGCUCUAUGGUGGUCUUGGUGAGCGAACCGGAUUGACGCCUGCUGAAACCCUUCGGUUGGUGACAGCGUUGCAUCUGGCUACCUGGAGCGGAGCACUGCAAACACUGACAGGUUUAGGGGGUUUCACUGUCGAGAGGAAAUAGAGGUCCUCCGUGGAGAGCAUUUCACUACAGGUUUGGGGCCGUCUGCGAGGACUUCUUUACGCCUGCUGCAUUGCUACCAAGACAGGGCCUCCCUCUUGUGCGGUAAAUCACCCGAUAGUUGCACAAGAAAAGAUCAUUUGUACGCCGGCCCGUCCUAACCUCGGCACGCAUGUAGCUAUAAUAAAGCUUAGUACCGUUGAUCCAAGCAUGACCAAAACCUGCCACGAGCUUCGUUUUCACUGUCUAGGCAGCCGCCCAGUUCUCUCUGCAGUGCACUCAUUCACAAGGCGUUGUCGCAUAUGAAUCCGACUCUCUUUCGGAGUGAAGGAAACAGUCACUAACAUAAUACCGAAACAGCGAGCUUUGGGGAUGUGCACCAGCCAGGCCAUAUUCUCAGAAACGAGAAUGCAUGUUCACAGCUUGGCCAACGUAGACGGCGAUGCACGGUCCCCAGUCAUUAAGUCCAUGGUGGGUCGCAGUGUGGGGGUGACGACCAUAAUGGCGCUGCCACGCGCAGAUUACAAGUCGCCGGCCCCCACAGGCAAGCAGGCAGGCCAGGCAAAGCAAACCUGGUUUUGUGGAUUGGGACCUGGUACUCAUGCACUGGAAUGGAAAUGAAAUGGCAAUGAAGUAGAAAUGAGAAAAGGACACUCACUCACUCACUCUCUCAUCCAACUGGGCAGUGCCGAGGUAGGCUGUCCCUCCCUCUUUCCUCUGCUUCCCAGAUAUUUUCUGCUGGCUCGAACAGUCUUGCGUCUGGAAUUUUUUUUAAAAGAGAAUAUAUUUAUCUACAGCUACAAUAAAACCUUAUUUCGAUGAAUAAAAUUGAAAAUAUUAUAAAAAAUUUAACCAAAAUUAGAAUCUAAGCCUAGUCGGAUCCGGCCAAAGCAGCCGCGAAACUCAUAUGAACCAUUCGGCAGAGUUGAAGCAAACAAGUAGGGUAGCUUAUAACCACUCGACCUAAGACCGAGGUUCUCCGGUCUGAUGCAGGCAGUACUAUUGUUUCCUCGGACUUAGAUGGGUAUUCGUACAAUACUCCGAUAAUACUCAAUCGAAAAAAAAAGUAAAAAAUAACAGUAAAGAUGAAAGCAUUGGUAUGCAAGCUCCGCAAAGUCACCACUACCCACAAGCGCCGCAAGGCACCGUCACAGCGUUGUUGCACCACCCCCUGCAUUGCAUGGACUGUAGCUCCGCACCACGCAGCGUACUUCUUGAUCACCAUGCGCCGCGCCCGAUGCUCGCACCCCCACCAAGUCAAAGCAUCGUCUGUCGGCCCAAUUAUUACGUGAUGAAUUAUGAAGUCUGCUCACUGCAUGCUGCGCCGACCAUUACAAGCAACGCUUAUCUACCACAUAGGUUCUGUGCUCUUGCCACUCCACCAGUCGAGGUGCUCUCUGCUCAGUGACUAAGUGCAGGAGUAUUUUGGACCAGUUGCAACGGGAGUGUAAACGCUGUGGUUCGAGCCGACGAAAGUUCAACAGCGUGUAUACGGUGCGAAUGUGUGUAGGGAGUGGUCGGCGCAAUUGCGAAAUGGUGCUUGCCGCGCGUCGAUUUAGAGCAACUAUAAAUUGAGUUGGGUUUUCACCGGGCUACAGAGGGAUUUGUGCUCGGCUACGGAUUCAAUUUUGCAGUCAGUGCAGCGUACGCUGUAGUUAAGGGUUUUGAUAAAACAUCUAUUGAGUACGGAUACUCGCACAAUGAUCAUUAACUCCGUUCAAGAUACAGUAAGUAGACUUUCGGCUCGCGGAGCUGACUACCAGAGAAACUUUUAAAUGUAGACUUGAUACAUUUUAAUAAAGGCCAGUGAAAGCAGUGACAUAGACAGAGAGGUACAAUGAAUCAUAUGUUGCAGCUUCAUUAUAAAUUGCGAAAUAUCAUGAGGUUACACGCCUCCGUAAUUGGAGAGAAGGCAGGAGGAAACCAACGCUGCACUACACUGCAGUCUAUCAACCCCGGCACCACAGGAACUGUGAGAAAAUUACGGGGUCAACAAGCCUAUCCACUUCCCUCAAGACGUCCACCUUAUUCCUCACUGCCUGGGUCAAAACCCUUACACACACUGCCACUGCACGUAACACCCUGGCAAGAACAAACAAAUCCGGAAUAAUUUAUCUCCAUGCUCGCAGCACCUUCAUGGCAAAGGUCGCCAGCUCCCCGCACCAUUUAAUAUGAAAAAAACAUCUCCAAGGGACGAAUGCCAGUGCCUCAUACCAACUCAGCUAUUAUGAAUCCUCUUGAAAAAGGCGCACAGUUGAUAACCUGUUACAUGAGUCAAGAAGACCAUCAGAGAUGGUUAAACGAUCAAGAAAAAAGGACAAUUCCUUGCUCAAUCAAUCGAAUCUCAAUUCAAUAAAAAUCAUGCAUCAGUUCAGGUUGCGAAAUUGGCUCGUACCUCUUACGACAUUGGCAUCUACUCACAAUCACGGACCUCAGUAGCCGCCUGCAGGUGGGCUUCCAGAGGGAGAACCUCCAGAGGGAGAGCCCCCAGAGGGAGUUGGGCUAUAUGGGGGGCUAGAGUAAGAAGGAGAUGAUGGAGUGGUAGGAGAUGAACCAGACGGGGUAGGGCUGUAAGGGGGGCUAGAGUAAGUAGGCGACGACGGGGUAGGAGGAGACGGACCAGAUGGGGUCGGACUGUAUGGGGGACUGGAGUAAGUAGGAGACGAUGGAGUAGAAGGAGAUGGGUCGGAAGGAGUUGGGCUGUAUGGGGGACUCGAGUAAGAUGGAGACGAGGGAGUUGUAGGAGAUGAGCUGGAGGGAGUUGGACUGUAAGGAGGGCUGGAAUAGGUAGGAGAUGACGGAGAAGAACCAGAAGGAGUUGGGCUGUAAGGAGGGCUAGAAUAUGUAGGAGAUGACGGAGAAGGACCUGAAGGAGCAGUAGGAGAUGGACUAGAAGGAGCUGGGCUAUAUGGAGGACUGGAAUAAGUAGGAGAUGAGGGAGUCGUAGGAGAUGAACUGGAAGGAGUCGGGCUGUAUGGAGGACUAGAGUAGGAUGGAGAAGGGGUCACAGGAGACCCACCGGAGGGAGUACCAGGAGAGUAAGGAGGAGAACUGUAGACUGGAGUGGGAGUCACAGGGGAAGGAUCGGAAGCAACUGGGGGAGAAUACGAUGGAGUGUAGGGAGUAGCCGGUGGAUCAGUGGAGGGAGGAGGAGGGCAGAGAGUCAAACUCGGGAUCAAGCUUCCCAGGCCUGAAGACGUGAGAAGCACCCUCGCCUCCGUGUUGACGAUACAAGCGCAGCAGCUUAGAAGAGCUGCGACGAGAAUCAGCUGCGUCGACAUAGCUUGCGACCUGCUCGUCUUCGCCAUGGCGUAAUGAGGAAACGACGGAAGGGCAAACACACUUCGAUGAAGCUGGACACUUGCUCUGAUCGUAAAAUCGGGAGCUUAGGAGGUGGUACAUAUAGCUGAGAGAGUGGGAGAAGUGGGCCGCGGCGAUGGGCUGGGGAACUGAGGGUCCAGGUGUGGGGAAGCGCAGCAGUUAAUGAGGUCAUGAUGAGGAGCCGCAGAGCGAAACCAGAACAGUCAAUGGGCUUGAUCACAGUCCUGCACUUCAGCCCCCCCCCCCACCCCCACUGAUCCACGACACGAUUCCAUCAAGUCCCGGGUCUUCAAUUACGCUGGUGCGGCCAUAUUUUGAAAAUUCGCUCACGUUAAAGUAGUGUCAAGUGCAUUUCCGUAGGAAUGUGGACAUUCUGAGGUGGCUCUUUACUAAGGAACUAGAAGGAGUUGUUUAUGGUUGUUAGUUGCCGAUGUAGCAGUUGAACAGAUUAUCCGACUCCGGGUGGCCACCCCUAAAUCCUACUUGGCACAUAAUAAAAUCGCGCAAGGAAAUAGUUGGUGCGGAAGAAUUGCUGACUCGGCACGGCUCAGAACAAUUUGAGCUCAAUUCAGUAAUGUUUAAAUUGCCUUGGGAAAUCUAAGUCAUUAAUCCUGUAUUUUUUGGAGGUUGUCAUGCAACGUCUUCGUUGAGAUACAAGUCACUACAGCACCCAUUCCCAAGAAACAAAAAUCAAACCUGGCAGGAUCAGUAAGUGAACUUUUAGUGUGCCAGUUGGCGUUUACCAUUUUAUAUCAUUCAUUUUUCCAUACUACAUGAAGUUAAUUUUCUUUACUUUCAUUUCCUCCUUUCGGUUCCCUUUUUCUUAACUUGGUGGGUGAUGUUUUACUACACGAAGAUACCUACAGAAUGGCUGCAGACCUCUACAGCGAUGAGUUCCGUUCCUCUUUGAGCACAUUUUUCAUCUGUAUCAACUUACAUAUCCCGGCAGAAAUUGAACGAUCUCCUGAUAAAGUACCUGGCAGGAGGCUGCAAAUUGUGGUAGAGAAGACUCGCUCAAUAGCGUUACUGGGGUUUUUUAAGCUUUUAAAUCUUCUUUUGUGGACAAUGUUAGGUCCAUUGCAUAAGUUCGGCCCAUACGGUAGUCUGCCAGGCAAACACAGGUUAUUAAGUGAUCAGCUCACAUGAGCCAGCAGUGAUGACGUGUGUCUUGAACUGACAAUCUGAUGUACAGAGAACUAAUUAAUCCGCCUGCUACAACCACCUUCUUGUUCUUAAUGAACGCACUACAUACUGCAGCACCGCAAGUUAGCAGCUGUAUUGCCGCGAGUUGGUUUUCCAUGUGUUCAGAUAUGGUUUUCAUUACCAUGGAUUUUUCACCUUCACCACAUUAAGCUAAUUUAAGCUGAGAUAUUUUUCAUAACUCGGGACUUGGUAGCUCAGAUGUUAACAAUUGCUCGAAAAUGUGCAGAAGUUGAGACAUGAGCCAAAAUUCCUCAACCUAAACUUAUUAAAAAUCAGGUAAAAUCUUUAUAAUUAACCAUUGUAAACAUGAUUAGGGAGGGUGUGGAGAAAUUUGGGUUCCUUCCUGCCAGCUUCCACCUUCAGUAACACAAAAUCCAAAAUGUUUGAAGGUUCUGCAACUUCAAAAAUCUGCAGUGAUGAAUCUUUCCACAGGAGUGGAUCUUGAAAAGCCAUUAUUGGAUUUACUUCUGAUACUAACUAGAUGUAAGAAGCUCUUUAAUUACCCUUUGUCUCCCCCUGUAAUAUGAGAGAUCCAAAUGUGAAACAUCUCACAUGAGUGACACGUCUGCCAUGGAUUGAAUACAGUGGAAUUACAUCACUGUUCCAGAAACUACAACCAAGAUGUUUUUGGUUCUUUAUCUCAUGGCUACAAAUACUUCAUGAGCCUGUCAAACAGGUCUUCCAUCAUGUCAUCAGACAGGCACAUCAAACAACAAUUAGACUCAGAAAUAUUAGGAGUAUGUGAAGAGCAUUCUUGAGUGUAAACAUUGACUUUAAAUCUAUAGAUUACAACUUUAUGAUAAAUCUGGCAGAGUAAAAAUGAGAUAACUACAUUCUGAAGCAAUUGAUUGAAGUAAUUGUCUGCAGCAAUUGCCUCUGUACAUCACUUUUGAAUAGCAUGCUUAAGCUUACUAAUGAAUGAGGUAUGUGCCUCAUGUAAACUUCAUGAAUAAUUGAGAGAACCUACCCACAAGAAAACUUCGAAUUAAGAUCGGCUCUCUGAUUCCUACAACCAACCUUCUAAACUGAAUUCCAAUGCAUUGCAGCAGCUCAUCACAAUACUGUCCAUCAUUUCAGCAUCACAUAUAGAUUUUCUUGCAUUCUACCACUCCUGUCAAGCUUCGACAGAAUGGACAAAUUAAUGUACACAAUGUGAUCCGGAUGUUAACUCCUAACUCUGUAUUCACUCUUGGAACAUAAAGCGAAUUCUUAGGCAUCCUUUGAAAACAAUCUAGGCACAUAGUAUGGCCGCAUGAUUGCUGCAGUACUGGAGGACUCUCUACAGUACUUUGAUCUAAAUGCACACAGCAGACAUAUAUGGAGUGAAAGUUGUAUGCAUCAUCUAGCUCCCACUCCUGAACCAGCUCAGAAAAUUUAAGCAUCAGAUCCCACACAGGCAACCAAUAUUACUCAAGGUCACAUCAAGACUUGGACAAUACAAAAACAAAACAAGCAAGAUUGAGGUUACAUGUACUACUUCUGCAUCCAAGAAGAUGAUGAAAAUUUGAAAAAGGACAUGACAACAUAAACACAGCAAUGGCCUAACCUGUACCUUGGAGGAUAUGCCCAGCAGAACGAGAAGUGCCAUGGAGCCAGCUGAAACAACGGCGUGUAAAGCACUUUGAAAUCGAUGAUUUAAAAGGUACUCCCUCUUGAAUUUUUCGCAGGUAGAUUGUAGCUGCUGGUGCAUAUCGAAAUAGGUUUUGUAAGGAGAAUUUCCACCUCGUUUAUUCCAGAGGAGACUAGCCAUCAUUCUAUUUACGUUAGUCCUCUGUAUGUGCUGAUUGCCAUAAUUAGGAAAUUUGGAUUUCACAUAAUCGUGCUCGGCAAUAUAAGAAGAAACGAAGGAUUUCCCAUAUUCAACAGCCACGUUAAGCCCUUUGGUCUUAUGAAGAUGAUGAAACUUUAGUUCACGCAAUUCAAACUCCAAUGAAGAUGCCUGGAAAAAUUCCAGCACAGAAGUUAACCCACCGAGAAACUAGUAAAUGAAGACCUAUUCAACUCAACCCUAAAGAAAAGAGAAUGAAGACCUUUCACUUGAGCUAGACCUAUCCGGGUAUAAUAGCACUAGAAAGGAUAUCCUUGCAGCGUACCCUGGCAUCCAAUUUGAGUCGAUUCGCAUCACACCAAUCCAAUGCAGGGUCUACAUUCAUCUCACGAAGUUGCUUCAAAUACUGCCACAUGUCGGACACGGGAGCGUGCAACGCUGCAGCAACACCCAAUUCUAUUUGAGCCUCCAUCACGAAGACAUCGCAAAAACCGAGAUCCUCCGCUCGAUAGAAAUGAUCGCAUAUGAGCUGAUUGAUCAAGUUGCUAUCGAAUUCAACAUUUACGUACGCCUUCAUAAUGUCCCGUGCGAAGACAUUGUUCAGUGAUUCGUUCCAUCGCUUCAGGGGUAUGUCGAUACGUCUUCGACUUGUCUUAUGAAUUUCUUCGACAUACUGUGAAUUAUAAAGUGUCAGGGAUCUCUACAUUCAAAUGUGAAUGCAGAGAGAGGAGAGACAAUUGGCUAUCCAUUCCCAAAAAGUCAAAGAGAACAAUUACCUGGCUUGUUAGACCAACUUCAGUCAAUUUUCGUCCAAGGUUUUGGAAUAAUUCUUUGCCAAAUUCAGAGAAGUCAUCCUCAUUCAACAUUGCAAGCCAUCCUGCAGCUGCAUUCGCCUCCUCUAGUGCUCUUUCGAUCACACCUUGUCUCAGUUUUAGGAAAUAGGAAUUGCGCAGAAAAACUACUUGAUCAAUUGCGUGUCGAAUGGGGGUCAAAUCCAUCUUGUCGACUUGGAUCAGAAAGCAGAUAGUUAUGUCAAGGAUCUCGGGUCACCUCAAGAACUCCCUGAUGCUUUUGCAAUCCACAAAGCAACAAAGCUCCACUUGACCAUCUUCCAAAUCCUGUCAAAUGGAAGGAAACUUCGGGUACACACGCGCGCGCCCAACUGAACUUCGACAGAAGCAGAAACCAAUAUUUAAAAUGACACGCCCUUCAAUCGAAAAAUUCAACGCUAAGCAAAGAAAAUCAGUAUAUGAAGAAAGUUGCCUUACAACCCAACGCGGAACUAGGACAUCGCAGUGGCGCCUCACAUUUGAAACUCCUCAGGCUCAUUGGAGAUUCUCAGGUGCAUCGAAAGUCAUGGAUCCAGUACUCUCCACUGCUUCCUGGGACUCCUACUUCCUAGCACGAACUCUGCCUCUACAACUUUAAUAUUAACAACGACGACGCUCCUCGCACACAAACCUCCACCACGAUUCAAAAAGGAUGCCUAGAUCUGAAAUCCACCACCCCCACAACGAUGCAUCGGCAGAAACAAUCGUCUCCGCUACUCCCGAGGUGGAAGAUUGUUGCGACGAGCCAAAAUCGAAGCAAAUGCUUAGCAGCCUCCCUUCGUAGGCGACAUCUUCAGCUUCGCCGCGGCCGUUGAUUCAUUGAGAGACUUUUACUCGUGACCGUUUAAUUAUGAAGGAGACGCUGAGUAGCUGCAACUUUUUAAGUCUUCUAGUAGUUGGAAUUGAGAAGCUUGUAUUAAGAUAAAUAAAAGAUGUGAUCUCUCACUUUGUCACUCCAUCAAAGAUUUUUGUUGCAAAAUUAAUGAUAAAAUGAACAAAAACCUUCAAAUCCUCGAACUUGUGUGAAUUAGUUUUGAUGAUAUGCACAGAAAUGAGUUAAGUGGAGAAUGGAUCAUUUUUAUAUGGAUUUUUCAGUUAUCACCAUGAAGUGUUAAAGAUUUAAUUUUUUAAAUGUACUGAUGAUAUAAGUUUAUUUGAUAAAAAAAAAUCUUAGAAAUACAACGAGUUAAAACAAUUUGAGAUUGUUCUAAACUUUACUUGUAGUCUUAAAAUCAAUGGAUAAAAUUUCAUGAGAUGUGUAUUUGAUUUCUUAUAAGACCAGUGAAUAUAAUGAGAAACAUAAACUUGGUGUUUUUGACAAAAUAAUUUGCUCAUACAUCUGUAAGAACUUAUAAUCAAAUUACACAUUUAAGAAAUGUUUGUACUUUUCUUUGAAAAUAAAACAAUAGUAAGACUUCUUGUAACAUCUUAAGAUUGAUUUAGAAGGUUAUAGCAUCAAAGAAAAACACAACGUGAUAUGUUGAAUGUAAAGUGAUGCACUAAUUUAAAUAACAAAAAAAUAAAUGAUCCAUUAUACAAGCUUUUACGAAGUCUAUUGUAUGUUUUAUAAAUGUUGCAACAAGAAAUCGUGAUUAAUUAUUUUAGGAGUCAGGUUUUUAUCAUAACCAAUAUUAUUUGCUUUUAUCAAACAACUUUAAAACAUUUAGACUUAUGUUUUCUCAUCAGAUUAAACCUUUAACCAGCCACAAUAUUAAAUGCCACAUUUAGUCUGUUGAUUUAGGGAUGAUGUGUUAGGAUUUUUCAAAGAAUACAAAACACUUAAGACUAAACAAAUGAAAAAUUCACAUUAAAGAUAUCAUUAAAAGGUAGAAAACAAAGGCAUGUGAAAAGUGGGAAGGCAAUUUUGAGUACCUCACUACAUCUUCACAUAUUGAUUUUAUCCAUCUAGAAUACCAUUUUGGGUUUUUCCUAAUCCGUAGCUUGCUCGCUAUUCAUGGCUAUAGAUAGGUAGGGGACUCAACAAAACCUAGAUUAAUAUAAAUAAUUUGAGAGUAUAAUUUAGGGAAUGGUUAAAUUGACCCAAGUAUUUAUUAAAUUUACCACCACCAGAUCCGCAUUAAUAAAAAAACUAAUGAAAAAAAUGGUUUGAUCCUUAACCAAUGAUGAUGGGUGGAUUGAUUUAGUAAAUGCCUUGAUCAAUUUAACAAUUCCCAUAAUUUUAAGUCAUCCAUUGGAAAGGCUAAGGCUGGUCCUUAUUGGCUAAUAAUUUUGGAAGGUGUAGACAUGUCUCUAGUUCAUAUCCGGUGACAUGCAUGGUAUACUAAUUAUAUAAUUAUAUAACUAUACUUAUAUUUUGACCCCGCUUCUCAGUAUUUAAGCGCUUCUUCCUAACACUUCUCCAUAAUACUUUGUCUUAACCCUCCCAGGCUCUCUUGCCAAGGCCUCCUUGGCUUCUGCUCUCCUGGCCCUUAAAUUCCAAAUUUUGCAGAUAAUUGGAAUGGAAAAACCCAUUAAAAAAAUGGUUAAAAUUGCCCAAAAUUCAUUCAUGAAUUAUCAUCCAUUAAAUACAAUAGUGAAGCUCAGCACCUAAUCCCCUGCGGCAGGAGGAAGGUUGCAACUAGAAGUCCCGUUGAGUCAUUUGGUGUGAAUAGGUCGAUUCUGGAGUGUGUUUUUAGGGUUUAGUGAGUGAUUCUGGUAGAUGUAUUCACUUUCGUAGCUAUCAGCACACAGUUCCCAGCUGUGUAGAUCUCGUCUUGGGUUUGUGAAUCAAAGCUCGAGAUCCGUUGUUCAUGCUGCAACCUAAGGAUUGGAGUUGUCGUUCGAGUCUCGAACUGUAGCGAUACUUGUUUGGGGUGAAGAUUGCGCUUCCCCUGGACGGAGAUGAGUGAUUCAACCACUGGCAGCAAGGAGGUGGAGGAUGAGUGGACAGUCGUUCGAGGUCGCAAGAAGCGGCAGCAUACGAAACGAUCCUCGAGCAGAAACGCAGACGAUGGGCACCUGUCUUGUUGCCGCGGGCACGGGCCGGACUUAGACCUAAGCUCCGGGAAAGCUGUUGCAGAACAGAAACUGCGGGAGAAGUUUGCCAGUUCCAGGGAACGAGUGCGGAGUUCUGCGUUUUUCAAAAACUUAGUGGAGCAGAUGGAACGCUUGCAAAUUCUCGAAACGUUGCUGGCGAAUGGGAGAAGAGCUGGCCACAAAGCGUGUGAAUCCCACCUCUCAGACGGUACUUGUUCUUAUCUCACCUCCAUCCCUUCUUGUUGCGCACUACAGGAUCUGUGUUGUAUUGCACAUCCGGGGAUUGAAAUUUGGGGUUUUUGUGGACACCUCAUGGAUUUUUGAAUUUGGCUUGUAGGGAGGUCGACAACGGAAAGCUUAGAGCAGAAGGAAAUUGAAAUUUUUACGUUGGAGGUAACGCCUGCAACAAAAUCAUCAUCUCUUGUUGAGGUGGUUGUUCUCGGCGUGGGGAGCUUGCUUGACAGUGAGGUGUCACGCUGUCAAAUGUCCCUCGCGCUUCUCUUGAAGGACCGUUUCUCUUGCAUUGGCAAUAUACUUGCCUAUGACCCGGUGCUGUCGGCUAUGGAGUGCGCGUUUUUGACAAACCUAGGUUGCACCCCGAUUGUGCAAGACGAUAAGGGCAGAAGGCGAGCAGACUCUCCCACACUGUUUUACAUGCCGCAUUGCGGUGCUUCCCUCUAUAACAGUGUCUUGGAGGCGAAUGUGGAGCCAUGGUGCGUCGGGUGGAUCUCCAUCCUUGGCAACAGCUUUCAGAAGUACCAGGAUAGCUGGUCAGUGUUUCCGAAACCCAAGCACGCUAGGCCUGAUUGUUUGCUUGGGCUGCAAGAGCAUGUAACCGAGCAUUCUGUGAACGCUGCGUCGUUUCCCUGCGUAUCAGCUUUCAAUGACAUGAGUUGGCAUCUGUUUCCAGUUGACAAAAUUUUGUGAGGCCAAUACUUUGCAUAUGAUUUUGGCUGAGAUCACUAAUUCCUGCUAAUUUUCGUUGAUCUUCUGUUUUUGUCAUCGUCGAUGCCUGCCCAGUCGUUUCGUUUUACAAUGUAUUUUGCGAUAGUGGAUAGCAAAUUUUUCAUCCAUCUAACUGGUACUAGAAUUUGCCUUCGAUUUUAGACAUGUUGCCUGCUAUUAAUCGACUUCAAGCUAUGAGGUCAAUUUCAGUGUCCGACAGUUCAUUCCAGACGUCGGCAGGUAACAGUCACACAUUGUACUAAUUGCACAUUAGACAUCAGCUUUCCACAAAAGUGUGGGAUAGAGUGGAAUAUCUCAAAAUCUUCCAGAUGAACGUCAACGCAUGGGAUAAUUCUUGUAACAGAACCUGAAUUGUUCAUCAUUCAUUGUUUUAAAUAGUAUUUCUGCUGCAUUGGGAUUGAAGGAACCGUGAUUCAGUAUUACUUUCUAAAUGAGUUAGCUAAGCAGAUGAGUGCAUAACAUACCGUAAAAUCAACCUCGGCAUGCAGCCCUAUUCUACUCCCAUAUCUUGCCGUUCAAUUUGGACGUCGGGCCAAUUAGGUGGCACACUUCAUCUUCGGUCCCGGCAGCAUAACCAUACAACGCUGUUGAGAGAAAACACUAUGUACACUAUGAGCGACAUCCAUGGCUGUGCUCAUGGUGACAGCGGUGCUGUGCAGUGGCAUGGUGGCGCCGGUUAAGAGAAAGCCGUGCCCAGUAUCAAGAAACUCAUCGGUCUCCUCAAUCGCAUCGCCCAUGGCCACAUCAAGAUCCCGUUGCGGCACCUCAUGUAUCGUUUGAAUUCAUCCAGCGAAAAGGUAUACGAAAGGGUUGCAAGCACUGUUGACUGGACUGCCUGUCCUCAGAAUCGUUUUGGCUGUAGUUGUUUACUCUUGAUUGGCAAUACGCAGGCUGCAUUGCAGAAUGACUCGAUCAUAAUCUUCAAGUCACCCUGCUUGAAUAUCACACUCCCUAUUAUACAAAUCUAUGUACGUGAUGCUGCCAAGAAUCGAAAGACUUCUGCCGUAGCGAUCACCUCCGAGGUCUCUCAUUUCUUCGAAGCCCUAGCCUUGUGGAUGCAUCUAAUUGUGGGUACUGCAGCUUUUCAAAAGGAGUCUACCUGGUUACACUGUGAUUCUGUACAGCUCCUUUGUUGUGACACGAAACUUACGAAUGAUCAAACCCAAUCCAAUUCCCAGCCCAACGCACAUACCUAUCCCAAUUCCGAAUCCCAAUUUGAUGCCCCUGGAAAUGCCUUUGUUGUACCAUGUUUCUUCCUGAUCCACCACGUCUGGAAGGUACAAACUACUGUCGAGCGUGAGCAUUUUGCUCACGUAAUCUCCAGCUGCCAACUCCUUCUGACUAUCGGCCUGACUCCUGGACAUGCCGAAGAAAGACUCACCACCCUACCAUCCCCCGAAAUACCUCCCACGUCAGCUUUACACUCUCUUCAAAUUAAGUGGUCUAAAGGCUAUGGAUCAAAUUGGUGAUACGGAUCCACGAAUGGAAACACAAUACAAUAAAGCUAAUCAAGUGAAGGUAGGAAGGGAUUGAGAAGCUCACCUCGUCCAGGAAAUCGUUCGAGACCAUCGCCGUUGCGUACAUUUGGCAACUUUCUUUAUCAUCUUCGUUGUCCUCGGGGAUAGCAUUGAGGGUGCAGAAAGAGGCGGAUCGUCGCUUGACAGUAAGCAUCAAGGUCUGCGUCAAGAUUACAGGCUCACUCUUAAACCUCCCCACUACACAAAUUUCCAUGGCUGUGUUGGUGUUGGGAAAGUUUAUGCACAGGCCGUGCUUGAAGAGCUCAUACUUCGCCUUGACGAAGGCGCAUCCUAGCGAUCCAAUCUCACAAGUGGUGGCCAUGAUCCAUCCCAGAUCAUUCCUCGUGGGUACAGCCGGUGUCGCAGCAGCUGGCCUUGGGGAAUACGCUAGCUUUUCCAGAAUGCCGGAGACGAGAAGUGUGUCUUGAUCCAGGAUUUGAAAGUGAAGCGUGGAGCUCAUGCGGAGGUUGUCUGUGCUGACAUACAUGAAAGCGUCCGCCGUCUCGGAUUCGAUGCGGUUUCGACGGAGGACAAGGGAGACCUCCUCCGAUGGGGGAAUGCGCCCGCCAUUGACCUCCAUGCAGGUGGCGAUUUCCCGUGGGGGAAAGUGUACGUUUAGAACCUCAGGAAGUGUGCAAUCUCCUGUCAGCUGGCAGUUGGUGACGCGGACGUAGAGCAAGCUCGCGUCGAACCAGAAGUCUGCUUGCGCCGCUACAGAUGAUUUGAACGAGAGGUUGUUGCUGCUCUGCGAAAACGCCCACCGGGAACUGGCCAUGAUUUUGUUUACAACUCCAAACGAAAUUCCCCGGAUCGAUUCUGCUACGCAAGAAUGACACCUCUCGUCUUAAUUAUGGAACCAGCUAUAUACCACGUGAAGACGACCGAUUCCAGCAAUAGGGACAUUUCUGGUUUCUCCAGAGCUGUAUCACAAAUCAAGCCACACAGUCAUCUGGCUAAGUCACAAUCUCUGUCAGCUCGCAAGGAUGUGACAUCACUUCCAAUGCUCUCCCCACCGUUACGAUGGUUUUGAGGCUGACUUACGGAGGUUGCAUUGCGCAUGUAGAAAUCACUUGGCUACAAAACGACUGGUGUUUUGCGGCGUCCAGCGAGUUAUCAGACAAGGCUUCGACACAGGCUUCAAAUAAGGUCGAUCUCUAGCAUGAAGAUCUGCUCAAAGAGCAGCCGAACAGAGUUUCCCAGUAAUUUGCGAAAAUGUCAUCGCAGUACAUCCAACUGAAAAGAUUGGUCGGAUCGCUGGAGGUUGAGCCUCAAGAACCACCAGAAAGAGUCUGACCCUCUACCAAGUUCCACAAAAAUUUAUGUGCAGACAGUCGGUCUACCUGAGGAUGGUCGGAACCGGCAUUUCAUAACACAAUCAAGCUUCAGAACCUCUUUCAGCUCCAUGCAUGCACAUCAACUCCCACCAGAUCAACACAUGAUCACAAGCAACCAAAACCAGAGACACCACCACCCCCGACUCUGGAGAGAUGCGCGGUCGAUGGUCACGAACCACUAAACGAAUCCACUAAACCCACGAAGUUGAAUCAAGGUAAUCAACCAAAAAAACGCGCUCGCUCCUCCAACUGAUCCACAAAAAUGUAAGGAGAAAAAAACGAAACCCUGAUAAGCUCUAGAUCAACUACCAACCGCCAUGCACUUGAAUUCUGAAACCCACUCUGUAUAUGUAUACAUCUCUAGCUCUCCCCUCUCUCCCUCUCUCUCGCUCUGGGAAUACGCGCGCGCGAGUACAAGAGCGUCUCACAGUGCAUGUGUACUUUUCUCUUAAAAGUUCGGGAAGGACACCAGCUGCGCGGAUGAAAAGCAGCAGUUUCAAGCGAUAGUGGCCGCCAUGUGGGAAGGGAAGCUUUGUUCGUGAUGAUUCUGAUGGGGGAAGGGAGCAUUUUGUCCAAGGCAGCUGGUAAUUUGUUGGUAAGUUUCUUUCUUAAUCGAGAUCCAGGCUCGUCGUCAUAGGACUAGCGGCAGUGGAAACUGCCUGUUCAAUUCAUCACCCUUCGAGCACUUGGCGGCCAGGCCAAGUGGCAGAACCCACCUCCCUCCUUGUGACGCACUACACUCCCUCCUGUCGCGUUUCGGUGAAUCCAAGGCGACGCAGAAGAAGUAAGGAACCCGCGAACAAAAUUCGAACGACGCCAUCACUGCCCUCCACUCUCGCUUGGAACACUAUCGCUUAUAUAUAUAUAUAUAUAUAUAUAUAUAUAUAAGAAAAACAACAACGGCAACAUCAACAUCAACUACUUAACAACUUGGACGAUGUCUGCAUUUUCGAGCCUCCAAAAACUCGGUCCUCGUGAACGAUUUAAAUGGCCUCGGUUGUAUCGACAACGUGGGCGAUUGUCGAUAGAGGCCCAGAAUGUUCUUGUGCCUGUUGUUUAAGCAUUUUGCAAAUCUGCAUGGAUUCUUGUGGGUUUCGAGCAAUUGGGGAUGUUAUUUUAUUUUAUUUUAUUUUAUCACGAGACACAUCACCCUGUUGCUUGGUCAUGUGGAGUGGGUCUGUAGGGUCAAUUGAAGUUGGUGGGGUGGUUAAAUAAUGGUUUUAAUAGAGGUUUUAAAUGUGCAUUGUUCACUUGGACUUGAUGGGAGCUUUGAAAAUAUAAAAAAUAUAAAAGUGUAUGAACCUCAACAAAUACAAUUCCCAUAGAUCUAGACUUUCUUCAUUAAUGCAGUAAUGUAUGUGAACUAUUUAUUGGCAAAGUCAUAACAGAGUUAAACUCUUGUAGAUGAUGAAAUAAAUAUAUAUUCCAGGAAUUUUUUGAUUUUUUGAACCAGUUUUGUGUUUUUGCCAUUAACAUAAGGACAAAAAAAUACUUGCCUUCUGUGUGUGGAGAAUGUGAUACUUUAUGUAAUUUUUUCUUUUUUCAUUUUUUUUUUUUUUACUUGUAGCAUCUUUGAUUGAAAGGAGCAUGUAUCAAUUGUUUGUUGGGUGAGAAAAUGAUGAAAUUGACACCCACCUUACUUUCAUUGCACGUCCAAAGGAUGGAAUCAAUGAUGUAUCGUUGUUUAUUUAUUUAUUUUACUUAUACAUUUUUUUUGUUCACUAAUGAAAAUUAAUAAGAUGGCUUUAAUUGUCAAUACUAAAUUAUGAUAGUUUUUUAUAAUUGUUUUUGUUAAUCACUGAUACUAUCAUCACUUUUAAUUGUAAUAGUGUAAUAUAUUAAUAAACCCACACACAUUACACAUGUAAAGUUAGCAUACAAUUAAAAAAAUACUCGUUUUUUAUUUAAAAGUUACAAAAUAAAAUUUAUUUUUAUUAUUACUUGCUAACUAAUAUGAAAUUAGGCAUACAAUUUUACUUGAAUUCAAAGUAAAAUUCAAAAGAAUAAAUUUUUAGUAUUUUUAAGACAUUAUGAAUUUUUUUAGAUCCUCAUAAAACUUUCCAAAAGAUUUUAAUACAGAAAAUCAACACAAAACUAGUUAAACUAUUUUCAUAGAAUAUACUUUUAAAAACAAUUAUUUAAAUUAUUAGGUUACCAAAAUUUUAAUAGAAAAUCAAUUUCGUGUCACAAGCCUGAUAUAUUUUAAUAACAAAAUUUUAAUCUUCUAAAUAGUAUUAUUGUUAACAAAAAUAUAGAAAUUUGUGCCUUACUUGUCAUUAAUAUAAACUUCUAAAACUAUUUUUACUGUUGUACAAACUUCAUAAAUUCUAUAAAUAAAACAUUUGGGAAUAAAAUCAAGUUAAAAGAUUCUUAGAAAAAUCAUUUCAAGAACUAUAUUGACAAGUUUUUUUAAAAGUUUUUUCUACAAGUUUAGAUGUCCAAAUGUUAGAAGCUUAGACCACAGUUCAUUAGUCUUACAAGUAGAAAAUAUAAGAACAAAAUUAAAAUUAACUUUAGUUCUAAUAAUACCUCUGUUAAAUCUGGUUUUUAACUAUUUUAUAAGAUUUUCGUCAUUAUUUUCACAAUAUUAUAAAAAUCUUGGUAAUGACUGGUUUGUUACUAAAAUCUAAUCUAAUCAUAUUUUCGUUUUUUUACUUGGAUUUUCUCUCUAUUAAUUACUACAUUUGUCACUUUUGUAUUGUCAAGUCUUUAAAGAACUCUCUAAAGAAUACCAAUGAUAUUUUAUUUUAUACUUUAGUUCAUAUUUUUAUUUAUUUAUUUAUUUCUAAAACUGAUAAAAAUUUCAAAAUCACUUCCUACUUCUUUGGUAUAAAUUAAUUAUUGAUAUUUUGUGUAAAAGAAUGCUUUUAACAUUAUAUGAUUAAAUGACCUUAUACAUAUUGGCAUUGUUAUGACCACAUGAUUUAUCAACCCUUUUAAUCUAGUUCCAAUUAUAUUGCAUAAAAUAUGAAAUAAAUUUUUUUGCUUAAAUAAAUUAUUUCAAAUCAAAUAAAAAUACUUCUUAAAAGAUAAUCACAAAUAAGAAAAAUAAGAAAAAUAAGAAAAAUAAGAAAAAUAUUACAAAUUUUCAACAAGAAUAUAAUAGAAAAAAUAAUUUAUUCAUGAUAUAUUUUUAAAAUAUAUAUAUAUAUAUAUAUAUAUAUAUAUAUAUAUAAAGAAUAUUUUUGUACCAUGUAUGUAAUAAAAUUUGUAACAUACAGUGAAAUAAAUUAAUAAAUUAAAUUAUUUUACACAAUAAAUAUACUAAAAAGUGAAUAUUAAAAUAUAAGGCAUACUAAGUUACAAAUGAACUAAAAGUAUUUUAUUUAAAAAAUUAUUAUAUACUACAGUAUUAAAAUAAUAAUUAUAAGUAUUAUAAUUUUAAUUAUAAAAUAUUAGAAACAUAAUAUCUUAAAGUAUUGAAUAGAAAUUUAUUAUACUAUAUAUAUAUAUAUAUAUAUACACACAUAUAUAUAUAGAUAAAAGAGUUAUGAUAUUAAUAAUUUUUAAAGAAAUAUUUUGCAUUUAAAAAAAAAUUAAAAAAGUGAUUUGGAUAAAUAUUGAUGUUUUCAAUUUUUUUAAAAAAAUUUAAUCUAUAAAAUGAAAAUAAAUCUUAUUAACAUAAAAAUCACAUACACAUACACCAUACUUGGCAGGCAAUUAAAGUUCAUUUUUAUCAAAACAAAGUUUUCUAGCAUUUUUGUGGCAAUGCAACAUUUUCAAAUGAAUGAUACUGUAAUUCUAAUCAAAAUUUACAAUUAAAAUCAAUGGAACAUAAAGAGAUGUUAUAUCUAAAUUAUCAAUUCUAUCAUAUUAACAAUGUCAUGUAAUUAGGGACAAAAUAUCACCAUACAAUUGCCACUUCGACAAUAGAAUUGUUAAAUAUAAUUAUUCAAUGAGUAAUGGACAUAUAUAUACACACAGACAUUCACCAAAAGUCAAAAUCUCUUACUGUAAACACAACUAUAGAUUAGCUAAUUAUCAAAAAAUUAUAAAUUAGGAUGAAUAAAUAGAUUAAGAAGAAUUAGGAUUUCUACUGAUAUUCUAAAGCUGUUAUAAGACAUUAUAAAAGAAAUAAAGCAAAACACCAAAUAUGACUAGUCUUAUAAAUAUAAAUCAAUGCAUAAUAUCACAUUCAUUAUAUUGAUUUCAAUGCAUAAUACUGCAUUCAUUGCAUUGAUUUAAAUUAUCUUAUAAUAUUUAAUACUAUUAUUUUAUAAAAAUUAGAAUUAUAAUUAAUCUAAAAUAAUUUAUUGUCUAUUUUAUUAAUUAUUAUUAUUAUUUUUAGAAAUAAAAUAUAUAAAACCGAAUUUUUAUGAAUAAAUCAAAUAAUAUUAACAUCAAAUACUUUAACAUAUACUUGAAAUUAUUUUUAAACAUUACCUCUAAAAAAGAUAAUUAUAAAAUGAAAUUCUAUUUUAUAUGGAUUAUUGUUAAUUAAUAUUUUGUACAAUUAUGACAUAUAUGUAUAUAUGUAUGUAGACAUAUAUAUUUAUAUAAAUUUUAAUUCUUCCAUUUUUUUAUUAUCAUUUGUAAAGCUAAAAAUUAUUUAAUAAUAAAAUUUAAUAGAAUAUAUAUAUUUUUUGCAUUUAGAAAUCACAAAUUAAUAAUAAAUAAAUAAUAAAAAUAAAUUAUUUUACUUCCAAAAAAUAAUAUAUUUUUAAAAUUAAUAUAUCUUGAUAUUAAAGCUAUCAUAAAAGUUACUUUUAAUAUACUAAAAUAUAUAUAUAAAUUUAUAUAUAUAUAUAUAUAUAUAUGUGAGUAAAUCUAAACAAUGAGAUUUUUUAAUAUUAGUUAAGAAUAUUAUUUGUCUUAUUUCAAAAUAUAAUUGACAUCAAGGGUCUCAUGAAAUCCAUCCUCACUCAUAUGAAUGGCUUUAAAAUAAGAAUUGACAUUAGUACGCACAAUGUGACAUUCUAGUCAUAAUUAUAUUUUACUUAGCAUAUUAAGCAUUAACAAAUGAAAUAGAUCACAUCACUGACCAUACAAAUCUAGUAGUACAUUUUUUGAAGCUACUUGAAAGUGCUUCAUAUUGCAAAGUGCUCUAACAUUCAUGCCACAUGAAAUAAUUCUAGAAACUAAAUAAAGUCAGGGACUUUGGAUACAAAACCUCUUUGAAAUUGUCUUUUUGUAGAAGAAGACACUAUCUCUUAAGUGUCUUCUUCUACAAAAUAAGAUAUUCAAAAACUUUAAAAUUAUCUUUUUGUAGUAGAAUAAGGUAUUCAAAAAAAUAGUAUUUUAUUCUUUUGGUGAGAAUUUUGUCCAAGUAAUUGAGGUAGUCUAGUAAGUCUCCAUGAGUAAAUCAAAUAAUGCUGCCUUGAUGAUAGAUAUUCAUGUUAUUUUUGAGUGGCUUACUUUGCUCAAGGGCCAGAUUAAUAAUGUCUGCGUAUGUAAACACCAACUAUCUCAAUAAUAAAACUUAUUAUGGUUUGGUCAUGACCUCGAUAAUUUCUAGAAGUCAGAUGCAGGUAUAAUUUUUGUAUGAAGAUGUUAUAUUUUUUAAUAAUUUUAAUUUACAUAUAACAAUAUAUAUAUUUAAGAAUCUUUAGAAUUAUAAUCUACAAGUUGUAACUAAGAUAUAUAAUAGCUUAGUAUAUUAAGAUAAAGAAUGAUAUCUUCCUUGGUAUUGUCACAAAUAUACAUAGAUACUCUAAUAAAUACCUAUAUGAUUAGAUAGAAGUAGAUAAAAAUAAAUAAAAGUAGGUUAAUUUUAUAAUACCUUUUAGAGAGGCUUCUUAGAAGCUUCAUAGAUGUUGCUUUGACUUUACAUAUGUUUGUAAUUGAUUGAUAGGUUAGAAACUUGGUCAAUAAAUUAACCAUGUAUUGGUAGCUUAUAGAAUAAGCUAAUUAUGUGGCAUAUAUAUAUAGAAAACUUGCCUUGCAAGUUAAGAUACAUGUCUUGCAAAGUCAACAUAUUUUGGAGGUCCUAUAGGACAUUGCCAUGUAGCUCCUAAUUAAGAGAAUAUAUGGAGGCAAGAGUGAAGCCUUCUUCACUCUUGUCAAUGCCUUUCUAGUCUUUAGUCUUAUUUUAAGACUUUCUAGUCUUCUUAUUUUUAGCAAUAUCUAUUCUAGUUUAAUACUAUAUCAUCUUUGAGUGACUUUCUAUUUCCUUUCAAUGAAACAAGAGUGUAUUGAGGAUUUUCUUUCUCCAAGUUUCAUGUCCUUGAUAUGUACUCUUUCUUAUCCUCCUCUUCUUCAUUCUCCUUCCUUCUUCCACCUUCCAUGAAUGUUGUGCAAUUUGCAAUGGAAGAUUGAAGAGCCAUGGUUCAUUAAUUAUGAAGUUAGUUAUAAAGUAUUAAAGUUGACAGACGGAGUUAAGAUUUUUGAAGGUUGCAUAAGGUUUGGAUACUAUAAAUUUUGUUCAUAUCAAAGCUUUAAUAUUGGUAUAUAGAUAACCAGAUUUAUAAACUAUAGUACAAUUGUAUAAUUGUAAGAUCAUGAUCUAUUGAGCUACAUGCUUUAAUAAGCCAUGUAAAAGCAUGAGAUCUUAUAAAGAAACAAUGUUGAUCUUAAUGAUAAAUUGUGAGUCAUAAAAAUAUAGUUGAAAGUACUUGAUGGCAAAGGUAAUAGCAAGGCUUUUUUUAUUGUUGAUUCCAUGAUUUUUUUUGAAUUUCAAAAGAAGUUAGAAGAUAGAUACAAGUACUCAUUCUUUGCAAUCAAUGGUUUGGAUAAGAAUAAUUUCUAGACCAUUUCAAUUAAUAUCAAUUUGUAGGAUAAAAGAUUGAUAAAAAUGUAGAUAGAUGAAAAAAGAGAUAGUGCAUAAGUAGGCCUUGAUUUUAUCAAAAAUAUCUUAUUUGACAUGGUAUCAAGGAUAAGAACUUGAUGAAAAUAAAUAAACAAGUAAAACUUUUUUAAAGAAGUAUAACAAAAUAGAAAUUAGGAAGCAUGUGUAUUAAAAAAAAAUUAGAAUGACUAUUGCCAAAAGACAAGAAAAUUAGGAGCUUCUUAAAAUUAGACUAAAAAUAAGAAAAGAAUUGAUAAGUAUGAAAAAAGAUUUAUUCUUGCCUCUAUAUAUACUAUCUAUCUAAAAGCUAUUUGGUGACAUUCUAUAAGACCUCUAAAAUGUGUUGAUUUUGCAUAACACAUAUCUUAACUUGUAGGAUAAAUUUUCUAUAUAUAUGCUAUAUAGUUAGCUUUUUUUACAAGCUAUGAAUAUGUGUGAUAUGUGGUUAACUUGUUGACUAAGUGUCUAACUUAUCAAUCAACUAUAAACACAAGUAAACUCAAAGCACUGUCUAUGGAGCUUCUAAGAAGCUUUUUUAGAAGAUAUAAUGAAAUUAAUUUAUUUUUAUUUACUUCUAUUUAUUUAUAUUAUCUAGUUAAUAAUUACAAUAAAUAUAUAUCCAUGACAUUAUUCUCCCCUUUAUAGAUGAAUUCCACAUGUCAAAACAAUCUAAAAAUGUGGUAAAUUAUAUUUUAUACAUACUCUAAUCUUUAAUCCUUUUGAAGAUAAUUGAUAGGUCUUAUCAACCAUUGAUAAUGUUCUAUUCUACAAUGAAAAGACUACCUUGUUAUUUUAUUAUUGCUGAAAUCUUCGUAACUUCCUUCAAAUAAAACAUUUGUAACAUCAUCACGAAUUGUUCCUACCUCUAAUAAAAUCACCAAAUAUCAAGACUUUCUUCUUCGGUUGUGAUAUCAAAUAUAUUGUAUCUUGUCAUUUAUUUAAGGAAGAACAUAUUGCUCUUGUAGAUCUUUAUGCCUACUACAUCAUUUUAAAGGUUGUAAUAAUUAUAAUAUCUCUUUUGAUAAGUCAAUAAAUGAUGAUUCUUGAAUUGAAUUUGUUGGCUAUUGGUUCUUCAUUUCUUUAAUGCCACAGUUAUAUAGAAAAAACAAACAAAGAUAGAAGGUAGAAUAUAAUCGUUUUUUAAAUUAUAUUUCUUUUAUAGUAAAGAUUUGCUAUCUUUCAUCUUAAUUUAGAUAGAUGUUGUUGAUAAAAAGUUUAGACUUUCUUUAUUAUAUUUGUAAGAAUUUUUGUUGGCUCUCAUAUAUAUUUGUUAAUAUUAUAUUUGUCCCAAUGAAUAAGAUAUUCCAACCUAAGUCAAUGCUGCCUUGAAUUUAAGACUUCUUUUACUUCAAAUUUUUAAUUAUUAUCUACUUCUCUAAGAGGCGGUGGUAUUUGUAUUUUUUGUAAGAUAUUCAUUUUCUUAUAUGGCUCCAAAAGAAAUAUGUAAAAUAGGAGAUGGAUUUUUAUAGACUUUGGUAGAUAUAAUCAAUAAAAAAUUGGAUUGAUUUAGUCACAAAUAGGAGAUGGUCCAAGUCUACAAUAAUCUAAUUUUGUUCAAAUAAAUGAUUUAUCAAAUCUUUUACUAUAUGAUUAUCAACUUUUAAAAAGUCAAAAGCAUCAAAUCGUGGAUAAUAAUCAUAAUUAAUAAAAAAGAUUUAUUACAUAGAAAAAUAUAUCAUAUUAUUAUAAACAAACUCUGCUAAUGAUAAAAGAGUUGUCCAAUCAUCUUGUUGAUAGUUGAUAGUUAAUAUUACUCCAAUAUUUGAGAUCAAAUAUUAUUCCAAAACUUAAUUUAUACACUUUCUUUAUCCAUUAAUUUGAAGAUAAAAAGCCAAAGGUAGUUUUAUAUCUAUUUUUAGAAUCUUAAAAAUUAUUUUUUAAAAUCUUUAUAUAAAAUAAAUUCUCCUAUUUAAUAAAAUAUCUUUAGAUAAUCCAUGAGAAUAAUAGAUAUUAUUAAAAAAAAGCUUAGUUAUUUCUUCACAUUUGAUAGAUUUUGUACAUGGUACAAAAUAUGCUAUCUUGGUGAAAUGAUCUACUAUCACAAGUAUAGAGGCAUAAGUACCUAAGACUAAAAGAUCUAUCAUAAAAUCUAUAGAAAUAGAAGAUUGUGGUUUUUCUAAAAUGGAUAAUGUCUAAAGAAGUCCAUAAGAUCAAUGGCAAGAAGUUUUUGAACUCAAACAAAAAUCACAAGAUUGUACAAAAUCUUUGACUACCUUCUACAUUUGGAAUCACUAAAAUUCUUUGAAAUAUUAAUUCCAAAGUCUUAUUUUAUUUAAAAUAUCCUAUUGUUAGAAAGUUAUGAGAAGCUUGAAGAAUACAUAAUUGAACUUCAUCUUCUAGAAUAUAUAAGAAUCCUUUCAAAAUAUAAUAAAUUAUUUUUAAAUUCAAACUUGAAAGUAUUAUGAAACUUUAAAGGAUUUUUCUUAAUAUCACAAAUAAGAAGAUUAGAAGACAUACUUGAUUGAACUUGCUUAAUAAAAGUUGAAUCAAUAAUUAGUGCUGAUUUCAUUAUUCAAAGAUAAAGAUGGUCUGGCUUUAAGAGAAUAAUUUCUUGUUGAUUAAAGGUAAGAUGAUUUAAAAAGAGUAUUUGAUAAAUCUUAUUAUUUUUUUAGUUGAUAAGUGAUCUUGAAUUUGAAUCUUGACAAAGACAUACUUUAGUGGGCUUGGCGAUAAUUCAAAAUAUAUGCUGAUAUAAAAUAUUUAAAGUUCUUAGGUUUUGCAUAUAUAGUGGCUGAACUAGGAGCGCGUUCUAGAUAAUAGUGCCAUUCUUGAAAUGAAUCUACAAUUGCAAAAAGUUUAUUAUUGUAGAUGUCAUAAUAGAUCUUGAUUGCUAAAAUAUUUUUGGAAUGAAAAGCUAGUGGGUGAAGUUUAUUAUUUAUUCCCAUUUAUAACAAUACAAUAUCUGAAACAAAGUUUGAUGCAUCUAUUUCUAUAAAGAAUAGCUUAUAAAAGUCAAUGAAACAUAAGAUUGAUGUAUAAAUAAAGGCUAUCUUCAAAGCUUUGAAUGUUGCUUUUGCUUCUUGAUUCUAUUGAAGUUUGUCUUUAUAAGACAAAAGUGCAAGUAGAGUUGCAACUUGAGAAAAGUUCUUUAUUAAGAUCCAAUAGUAACUCGCAAAUGUCAAAAAGUAUUAAACAUCUCUUAUCAUUUUUGAGAUCUUCCAAUCUAUAAUAGUUUGAAAGUUUUUAGAAUCCAUCAUGAGUCCAUUAUUUGAAAUGAUAUAUUCUAAAAAGUUGACUUGAAUAAUAUAAAAUAUAUACUUUUUUAUUUUAACAUGGAGUCUUGCAUCUCUUAAUUUUUGUAAUACAUGAAAAAUAUGAAAUUCAUAUUUUUUUGUGUUCUUAGAAUAGAUUAAAAUAUUUUCUAGAUAAAAAACAAUAAAAUUAUCCAAAACUCUUGAAAGACAUCAUUCAUUAGAUGUUGAAAAACUAUUGCUAUAUUUAUAAGUUUAAAAGGCAUGAUAUUAUAUUCAAAAUAUCUAUACUUGGUUCAAAAUACAAUCUUCCAUUCAUCUCUUUUUUUGAUGCAUAUUAGAUUGUAUGUCUCUUAUAGAUCUAUUUUUAUAUAGAUUUAAGCUUGAUUCAAUUGAUGAAAAAGUUUUAAUAUAAAAAAUAGUAAGUAUCUAUUAUUAAUAGUAAUCUUAUGAAGUUCUUGAUUAUCAAUACACAUCCACAAUAAUCUAUCUUUUAUCUUUACAAAUAAAAUUAGAGCUCUCACUUGAGAUUUAGAAUAGCAUAUAAAGUUUUUAGGAAGAUUCUUUUUAAUACAUUCUUUAAAUUCAAUCAAUUCAUUUUGUGAUAAAUUGUAGAUUGGUCGAAAUGGCAAUUAAACUCUUUCUUGAAGUUUCAUUGAGCAAUCAUAGGAACAAUGAUUCAAAAGAAUAUUUGUAUUUUUUUUUCAAAUAUAUCUUUAAAAGCUUGAUUUUAGCUAGGAAUGACAUUUGAAGACUUUCUACCAUUAAAAAUAAGUGUAGCAUAAAUGAUAUAAGGUCAUCUUUCUUUUGUAGCAUACAAGAAAGCACUUGCAUCUACAAAUAUAAAUUUGGUUAUGCUAGACUUAUGACUUUUUACCUAAUUAAUUACACUCUUAAUUAUACUUUCAAAAAAGUCAAGACUAUGAAAAAUCCAAUUUAUUCAAGGAUUUUACUUUUCUAACCACAAUAAAUCUAAAAUGAUUAGAUUAAAAAAAGAUCUAAUAAUAUUAAAUACCACAAAGCUAUUAUAACUAUUAGUUACUACUUUUAAAAGAAACAUUUAAUAGAUAACAUCUCCAGAAAAUAAUAAAUAAUUAUCUAUGAUUUUUACAUAAAUAAAUUUUAUUUUCUUUAUUAAAAAUGUGUUGAUGAUGUCUUAUUCUUUCAUACUUUCUUCAUAGCCUACUUGCCACAUUAGAUAUAUUUUAAUAAUAAUAUUGUAAGUAAUUAAAAUAUUUUUAUAAAGAUUAAUUAGACCUACAUUGAAAAUAUCAAGGUUGUUGUACAUGAAGUGAAUGACAUAGUGGUAUUGCUCUAUGAAAAUAUUGAUGUUUAGCUGCAUGUCUUAUAUGGUAGUAAGAAAUAUCUUGUGAUCUUUUUUUUUGUAUGAAUAUGGAUUUUAAUUUCAUGUUGAUCAAAAAAAGAGUUGCACAAGAUUGAUGUACCUCAUUUUAUGUAAUGUCCAUACUAUAGAUAUUUAAAAACUUGUUAAUAAUAUAUAUAAAAAAAUAAACAAUGAAAUAGACCAGAAUAUAGUUGAUUUGAAUGUGUAUUGGAGCAAGUAAUGGAUUGGUUAAUAUGAAAAUAAUUUUAUUGCAAUAUUAUUGAUUCAGGAUUAAUUGUCAUACAUUGAUGUGCAAUAUUGAAAAAACAUGAUGUUUAUACCAUCUAAUCUAGUUUUAAAAAAAAUUAUUUCUAAUAUUGAAAAUCAUAUCAAUUGUGGCUUAAAUUGUAAUAAAGUUGAUUAUCAUUGUUAUUAUGCCAAAGAGGCAAUAAACAAUGCCAUUUUCUAUCAUAAUUUGCACAUUAGUUAGCAUGAUGUAGAAGUUGAAGAUCUUGAUAACAGCAAGGAGAACCGCCAUCACAUUACAAGUUAUGUCAAUGAUCAUAGAUUGAUUAAUGCCAUUGAUUUUCUAUUUAAUCAUGAUUUAAUGGAUUUUUUAAAAUUUUUAAAAUUUUUGAUUUUUUUUGAAAGAAUAGCAUAAUUAAAUUAGAAGAAUAUAAGAUAUAUUAGAAUAAGUGGUCUUACCAUGGUCUUCACAUACUAGCCGUAGAAAGAUGUGAUGGCUAGUUUUAAUAUAUUUUUAGUAUGGAUUAAGCCUCCAAUUCCUUCUUCAUAUUGUCCAGCUACUUAAGUAUGAAUGGAUGCAAUAGGCAGCUCAUGGCAUUAAAUUCCAAUGUAUUAUAAAUGCAAUAUGAGUACACUUUACUUUUGAAACUCAAGUAUUUAUGUAUUCUUUGGUGAAAUCUGACUUAAUUCAAUGGAUGACACUACGGAGCACAACCAAUUGCAUGGUGAAUUCUUGUAUUAUAAUAAUAUCAUCAAUGCUCUCAAAAUUAUAUAUGCAUUUAUUAUUCAAGCCUUGAUUAUGUUAUUUUUGCAUAAUUACAUUGGAUGUUAUAUGAAACAUGAUUGUCAUAGACAUCUUAGGCUUUAUUUGUUAUAAUGGAAUAGAUAUCAAAUAUUAAAGGCAUAUAUUGAGGUAGCAUAAUAUGACUUUAUGCAAUAUAAAAGCAUUGACAUCUACCUCUUGUAUAAGAUCCACAAUUAAAAAUUAUAUAAAGUAUUGUAAUGCCACAUAGCACAUAGUUGUAAAUUUAUCCUUCUUCAUAAUUGUAGCUUAACAUGAUUGAUGAAGCAAGAAAAAUAUAAGUCUAAACUAUUUUUAUAUUGAUAUUUAGUGAUAUUUAGGUAGUUCCAUGUUAGAUUUAAUUGAUUGGCAUGGAUAAAGAAUGUCUUGCCUAAAUAUUGAGUUUAUAUCUUUGUGAGCAAGUUAGUGCAAUCAACCUAUAAUUCAAAUACAUUUUAAGCAUCCUUAAGAAGAAAGUACAAUAUUAGAAGACUUAAUACAUAUCUAAGAUAUCAUACACAUUAGCCACACUAAUAAAGUCUUGAAUAAAGAUGAGAUAGGUAUCACCAAAAGAUUUUUUUUAAAAAAGUAAAGAUAGGUAGCUUAAUAGGAUUAAUAUAGGACUUAUGAGUGUAUUUGGCACAUAUCAUUGUGAUCAGUGUGAUCAAUGAUAAGAAAGAUAUAAUAAAAAGAACUUACAAAGAAAACAUGCUAUUGAUUACCUCUAUGACAAGGCAAACAAUAUACAAUAUCUGAUCUUCCAACAAGAAUUUAGCUACAUAUUAUACCUUUAUUGCCACCAAUUAUUUGUAGAGAACUAAAAAGAAAUUUCUUAGUUUUACAAAUAAGGAAUCUUUUGCAAUUAGAAAUAUUAUGGACAUUUGGAUUUUCAUAUAAAGUAUCUUUAAAUCCAUUGGUGUGAUGGUGGUUCCAAAACCUUCACUGUUGAAGAAGGAUGAAAUAUGUGGAUUGAUAAUAUUUAUAAUUUGUCAUGGACCUACAUAUUUAUUUAAAUGAUUAUCAAUAUAAUUAGAUAUAAAUAGGUAAAAAUAGAUUAAUUUCAUAAUAUCUUUUAGUCAAGCUUUUUAGAAGCUUUAUAGAUAUUGCUUUAAUUUUAUAUGUAUUUGUAGUUAAUUAAUAGAUUAGAAACUUAGUCAACAAGUUAGUCAUGUAUUUUAUAUAUUGAUAGCUUAUGAAAUAAGCUAAUUAAGUGGUGCACAUAUAAAAAACUUGUUUUACAAGUUAAGACAUGUGUUUAGAAAAAUCAACACAUGUUGGAGGUUGUAUAGAAUAUUGCCACAUAGCUCCUAAUUAGAUAAUAUAUAUAGAAAUAAGAGUAAAGCCGUCUUCAUUUUUGUUAAUAUCUUUUUUUUUUUAGACUAGUUUUAAGAGUUUAUACUCUUCUUAUUUUUGGAAAUAGCUAUUCUAGUCUUAAUACUAUAUUACUUUUGGAAUGAAUAUUUAUUCUUCUUAAGCUUUACAAGAAUGUUUUAAGAUUAUCCUUAUAUUUAUUCAUAGCCAUGAUAGUUUAAUAAGAAUAUUAAUUGAUUUUUUUUGUCUUAUUUUAGAAGUGAGAAGAUUAUGUCACUUCUAUUGUUGUAUUUUAAAGGUUAAAAAUUAUCUACGUUUAAACAAAAAAAAUAAUUUUCUAAUAUUAAUUUUUUUCUAAAAGAGAGUGAAUCACCUCUCUUUGUGAAAAUUUUCAUUUGAUAUUAGAGAUUGUAGAUUAUCCUCCUCUCAUUUGAUUUUUGGAUUUACUUAGUUUUUUGAAAUAAAAUAUUAAAUUAUAGAUGCUACACUUAGCAAAAAUAAAAUAGAUUUGUAACUUUUGCAAAUCUUCAUGAGCUUGUUGACAUUCUUAAGGUAGAAAUUUCAUACAUCACCAAUGUCAAGCAUUCAAACAUUAUUUCUAUACCUAUGGAAGAAGUUGAGAGUCUAUUCUAAGAAAUUAUGUAAUUGAAAGAAGCAAGUAGAUCAACCUCACAACCAAAUUCAAGAAGUCUUGUUUCUACAAGCAUAAGAAAAACAAGGAUUAGAAUAUUAAAUUUGAUAGAAUAAUUUCAAAUUUUUGAGGAUUUUUGCAAAAAAUUAAGCUUUAUUUAAGAUUGCAUCCUUUCCAAUACUCUAAUGGAUUUAAUAAAGUUAGAUUUAUACACACACUUUUUUUUGGUAGUGUUCUCUUUUUAUUUGUACCUUUGAUAGAAAAGGAUUUAUGGCUCUUUUAUGAUUUGAAUUCAUUCUAAAAAAUAUUUACGGCCAUAUUUGGUGAAAGUGAUCAAGAAAGUGUAAUAGAAACUAAGUUCUUAUCUUUACAAUAAGGAUCACAAUCACCCACCAUAUAUAUUGUUAAAUUUCAAAAUCUCGCUUGAGACAUUAUCAUAUUACGUGAAGUAUGCUUGAAAAUGCAUUAGACACUUGGUUGACAAAAGAAGAAUGGAACUUGCAAUAAGAUGAUUCUAACAACUAUAAUAGAAUCUUAAAUAAACUCCAAUUAAAUUAUAACAAUGCUAAUCAAUCCUUAAUUAAAUUCAAAAGAAGUCUCAAAACUUAUAAAAAAAAUAUGAAGAAAUAAAUAAAUUCAUCUUAAUCAAAUAUAUAAAAUAGAAAUCUUUAAAAAAAUAUCAAAAAUAGAUAUCUUAAUUGAAAUUUGAUCAAAUUCUAAUAUAAUCUUCAAUAAAUACUAAUAAAAUCUUAAACUCAUCUUAAUCAAAUAUUAAUGAAAUUCUAAUGAAAUCCUAUCUAGAUCCUAAUUAAAUCUUAAUCAAAUUUUAGACAAAUUUUUAAAAAAUUCUAAAUUAAAUCUUAAUGAAAUCCUAAUAAAAUAUUAUCUAAAUUCUAAUAAAAUCUUAAUCAAUUUCUAAUAAAUAUUAAUCAAAUACUAAAUCCUAACCAAAUUUUAAACCAAAUUUUGAACAAAUCCUAGUUAGAUCCUAAUCAAAUUUUAAUAAAAUCUUUGAACCAUUGAUUUUGACUAGAAUUCAAUACUUAAUGCUUGAAUCAUUGAUUUUGAUUCAAAAUUUUUAAACUUUUAAAAAACUAAAUUAACAAAAAUUAUAAAAUAUUUAAAGAAGAUCGUACAUAUCAAUUACAAGAAAAGCUCUCAAAACCUCUCGAUUGUUGGCUACCUUCUUCCUUCAGCUUAAAUGUUGAACUAUCAAAAAAACUUUCUCUUUGCUAAAUCAUUAAAUUACUCUAUAAUUUGAGUCAUGUGUAUAUAUUCAAGUCUAAAAUUUUCUUACUAAUUUUUACUUCAAUCAAAUUAGCAAAUAUUGCUAGAUUGCAAAAUCCUUCACUAAUCCUAAAUCUCAAUUAUUCAAGAUCAUAACACACAAAAAGUCUUAUACUCUUCAAUCUAAGUACUUGAUUGACCUCAAAUUUCUUACACAUUUAAAACAAACACAACAAUAAAUUAUCAAAUUUUUACCCACAUACAUACUACAAAAUUCAACAAAUCUUCAAAUUUGUAAACAUAUUUUUAUUUCUUAAAAUCUAAAUCCACCAAGUAUAAUAUUAAAUUUUAAAACCCUUCAAAAACUUAAUAUUAAUUAAAAUGACAUGAAAUCAACUUUCAAAAAUCUCUUCUCUAAUUUUUUCUCAAAUUUCAUUCUUUUUUUGACAAAAGAAUCAUAAAAAUAGUAUAAGUACUCAAUUUUAUACUUCAAGAUUUGAUUUCGGCCUUAGUUGACAAUUGGUCCUCUUCAAGUAUUAAUUAUUUUUUUCUUGGCAUAAUUUUUAUUAAAAUCAAUUCCUAACUAUCUCUUAUAUAUGCAUAUAUCUAUUAUUUUUUAAUCUUUUUUAUUUUUUCUAUUUAUGGCCAUAAAAAUAAAUAGAAUAUAUUUUUAUAAAAGAAAUUUUUAAUACCACAUGAUUUUACUACCUUCCUAACUUUUAUUUAUAUUUUUUUAUUAUAUCUUUUAAUUAGAUUUAUCUAUAAUAAAAUAAUUUUUAUUUCUUUCACCUAAUAGUUAUGUUAUUAUACAUAAAUAUAGAUUAAAAUAACAAAGCUUUUAUGAAUUAAUUUUGAUAUGGUAUCACAAACAUACAUAUUUGCUUUAAUAUUUACCUAUAUGAUUCAAUAGAAGUAGAUAAAAGUAAAUUAAUUUUAUAAGAUUUUUUAGAGAAGCUUUUUAGAAGCUUCAUAGAUGUUCUUUUGACUUUACAUGUGUUUUUAGUUGAUUGGUAGGUUAGAAACUUAGUCAAUAAGUUAAUUACAUAUUAGUAGCUUGUAGAACAAGCUAACUAUGUAUUACUUAUAUAAAAAACUUGCCUUGUAAGUUAAAAAUACAUGUCUUGUACAAUCAACAUGUUUUGAAGGUCCUACAAGACAUUGUCAUAUAGUGCUUAGUUAAAAGUAUAUAUGGAGGCAAGAGUGAAGCCUUCUUCUCUCUUAUCAAUACUUUUUUAGUCUUUAGUCUUGUUUCAAGACUUUCUAGUCUUUUUGUCCUUGGUAAUAGCCAUUUUAGUUUAAUACUAUAUCAUCUUUGAUUGAUUUUUUGAUCAUUUUAGGUGAUAUAAGAGUGUAUUGAUAUUUUAAUUUUUUGAGGUUCAUGUCCUUGAACAAGGAUUGAUAUGCUUGAAAAUAUUGAUGGAAUAAGAUCAAAAUUUUCAAGAUUUUUGCAAUAAGUCAAGCUCUAUGUAACGUUGCAUCCCUUCCAAUAUCUUGAUGGAUUUAUUCAAGUUAAAUUCAUAGGCACACUUUUAUCUAGAAAUAUUCUUUCUUAGUUUGUACUUUUAAUAGAAAAAGAUUUAUAAUUCUUUUAUGAUUUGAAUUCAUUCAUAGAAGUGUUUAUGGCCACAUUUGAAAAAUAUAAUAAAAAAAGAAUAGCAAAGACUAAGUUCUUAUUUUUAUAACAAAGAGUAUGGUCAGCCACCAUAUAUGUUGCUAAAUUCUAAAAUCUUACUUGCAAUAUGGACUAAAAUAUCAAAGCCUUUAUUAAUUAAUUUUAAAAUAGAUUAAAAGAUAAUAUCAAAUAUUUAUUAAUAAUAAUAUUAAAAGAAAAAUCUUUGGAAUAAUUUAUUACUCAAGCCAUUUUAUAUAAAAAUUAAUUAUUUAAAAGGUAUCAAAAAUAAAGAUUUGGAUAGAAAAGAAUAAGACAAGUAAUGAUAGUACCUUUCAAGUUUUCAAAAUUUAAUUCAUCAAGGUCAAAACCAAUGCAAAUUGAUGUGGUAUAUUUUAAAUUUCUUACUAAGCAAGAAAUAUUUAUUUGCAUCAAAAAGGUCUAUACUUAUAUUGUAGAGAAUCAAAAAAUAUUAUUUAAUAUUAUUAAAAGAAAUAAUAUAAUUACAAAAUAAAGAAUAUGGUUGCCAAACAAGACAAUGUAUCAAAAAAAAAGUCCCUCUAGCUAUAAUAAUGACCAUGUGGCUAGAGUCUUAUGUAAUUUUUAUUAAAGGUCCUAUUCUUUCUUGAGAUCUUUUAUGUUGUUUUAUAAUAGAAGUUUGUUUAGGAUCAAAAAUCAUAAAGUCUUAGCCUUGUUGAAUUCAAGAGCCUUACUCUAUUUUUUAGACAAAUACUUUAUCAAAAAAUAAGAUAUAUCAUUAGUUAAGAUAAUCAAAUCUAUCCAUGUAAAAGUAAUAGAUAAUUGUUUAUUAUUUUUUGGAGAUGUUAUAUAUGAAACUAUUCCUAUAGAAGUAACAAUUAGAAGUUAUAAUAGUUUGAUAAUAUUUAAUGUAAUUAGAUCUCUUUUCAAUCUAAUUAUUUUAGAUUAUUAUAGUUAAAAAAAUAUAACUCUUUGAUAGAUUGGAUUUCUUACAAUCUUGAUUUUUUCUAUAGUUUAAUCCAAUAUUUUGCUAGGUAAAUAGAAAUUCAUAAGAUCAAUACAUCUAAACUAUUAUUGAUAGGAGCAAGAAUUUUCAUGCAUGCUACAAAAGAAGGGUCAACUUUUGUUAUAUAUGCCAUACCAAUUUUUUAUAGAAAAAAUAUUUCAAGUAGCAUUCUAAGCUAAUAUCAAGAUUAUAAAAAUAUAUUUUAAAAAAAAAAUAUAGAUAUUCUUUCAAAGCAUUAUUUUUAUGAUUGUUCUAUUGAUAUUUAAGAAACAGCUCAACUAUGAAUUGGACCAAUUUAUAGCCUAUUAUAGAACAAGUUGGCUACACUCAAAGAAUACAUUGAUGAAAAUUUGGCUAAAAACUACAUACUCCAUUCUAAAUCUCUAAUCGGGACUCCUAUUUUGUUUGUGAAGAAAAAAGAUAGAUCUUUGUGGAUACGUGUAGACUAUGAAGGACUCAACAAGAUCACUAUUAAGAAUAGAUACCUUCUACUCUUAAUUUCAAGACUUUUUAAUCAAUUGAAUCAAGUAAAAAUUUAUACAAAAAUAGAUCUAUAAAAAACUUAUAAUCUAGUAUAUUUUUUAAAUCAAGUAUAGGUAUUUUAAAUAUAAUGUCAUGCCUUUAAGACUCAUAAAUGCAUCAAUUGCUUUUCAAUAUAUAAUAAAUGUUAUUUUUUGUAAAUUUCUUGAUAAUUUUAUUUUGUGUUAUUUAGAUAAUAUCUUAAUUUAUUCUAAGAAUAUAAAAGAGUAUGAACUUCAUGUUUUUUGUGUGUUACAAAAAUAAGAGAUAUAAGAUUAUAUACCAAGUUAGAAAAGUGUUUAUUUCACACUACUCAAGUUGACUUCUUAGGAUACAUUAUUUCAAACAAUGGUCUUAUGAUGGAUCCUGAAAAGAUCUAAACUAUCAUAAAUUAGAAGAUCUCAAAAGCAAUAAAAGAUAUGCAAUGUUUUUUUAAGAUUUGUCAAUUAUUACCAAAUCUUUAUUAAGAAAUUUUUUCAAGUUAUAAUCUCUCUUACAUACUUGAUAUGUAAAAACAAACUUAAGUAGACUAAAGAAGUUGAAGCAUUUUUUGAAGCUUUGAAGAGAACAUUUAUUUCUCUACCAAUCUUCUAUUGUAUCAAUUUUUUGAAGGCAUUCUUUAUGGAAAUAGAUGCAUCAAACUUUACUAUGGAUUUUUUUUGUCACAAAUAGAAGCAAAUGACAAGCUCUACUUAAUAGCUUUUUAUUUUAGAAAAUUUUUAGCAACCAAAAUUAAUAAUAAAAUCUAUAAAAAAGUAUUUUCUAUAAUUGUGGAUUUAUUUUAAAAAUGGUGUCAUUAUUUAGAAGGCCCUUUUAAUUCAAUUACUAUAUAUAUAUAUAUAUAUAUAUAUAUAUAUAGAUUACAAGAGUCUUGAGUACUUUAUAUUAGUAUGUAUUUUAAAUUAUUGUCAAACACGUUGGAACAUGUCUUUAUAAUAAUUUGAUUUUAAAAUUACUUAUCAAUCCAAAAAACAACAAGAUUUAUUAGACGCCUUUUUUAAAAAUUCUUAUCUUAUACCAAAAUAAUGAGACUCAACUUUUGAUCAACAAAGCAUAAUCCUCCUGAAGCUAGAGCAUUUUCAUCUUUGAGUAUUAAAAUCAAUAUUGAUUGUUGAUUCAACCUUUGUUAAGAAAAUUCUAUUAAAUAUGUCUUUUUAUCUUCUUGUUCAUGAUAUCAAGAAUAAUUCUUUUAAGUCUCAUAAUACUUCUAAGUUUGAAUUCAAGAACAAUAUAUUCUAUUUUGAGGGAUGAUUAUAUAUUUUAAAAGAUGAAGGGCAAUUACAUGUUCUUUAAGUUCUUCAUAACUUUCUAACAAAAAAAUACUUUAAAUAUAAUAAGACUUUAAAGCUAAUAUUAAGAGAUUUUUGGUAGCUUCAAAUGUAGAAGGUAGUUAAAGACUUUGUACAAUCAUAAGAUAUUUUUUUAAGAUCAAAAACUUCUCAUCAUUAAUCUCAUAGACUUCUUUAACAAUUCUCAAUUCCAAAACAACCAUGGUCUUCUGUUUCUAUGGAUUUUAUUAUAGAUCUUCUAGUUUCAAGUCCAUAUAAUUUUAUAUUUAUAAUAUUAGAUCAUUUUGUUCAGAUGACAUAUUUUGUAUUAUGUAUUAAAUGAAUCAUAGGUGAAAAAAUGGCUAAAUGUUUUUUUGACAAUAUCUAUCACUAUCAUAGAUUUUUUGAGGAUAUUAUAUUAGAUAUGAGGACUCAAUUUGUAUCAAGAUUCUAAAGAAUUAUUUUUAAGAUUCUAAAUCUAGAUAUAAAACUUUUUUUAGCUUUUUAUCUUAAAAAUAAUAGGUAAACAAAACAAAUGAAUUAAUUUUUGAAGCAAUAUUUGAAAUAUACUAUCAACUAUCAUUAAGAUGAUUGGAUAAUUCUUUUGCCAUUAAUAAAGUUUUAUUAUAGUAAUAUAAUAUAUUUUUUUAUUCAAUAAAUAUCUUUUUUUAAUAAUUAUGGUUAUCAUCUACAAUUUGAUACUUUUGACUUUUCAAAAGGUGAUAAUCCUAUAAUAGAAGAUUUGAUAAAUUUUUUAUCAAAGCUAUUUGCAACAAUAAAUGCACAAUUAAAAGAAGCUCAAGAAUAAUAAAAGAUCAAUGAGGAUGCCUAUUACAAGAAACAACUACAAUUUUUUUAUGAAUAAUAAGGUAUGAUUACUUCUUUGUAAUAUUAAGACUAUUUAUUCUUAUGACAAGUAGGCCUAUUAUAUUUUCCUAUUUAUAAAUAAGUCAAUCCUAUUACUUAUUGAUUAUAACUAUUGGAGUUUAUGAAGAUCCAUCUUAUAUUCCAUAUGUCUCUUUUUAAGCCAUAUAAGACAAUAAAUAUCUUAAAAAAAAGAAAAAUACCACUUUCUCCUAUAAAAAUAGAUAUUAAAUAAGAAUUCUAGGCAAAAGAAGUUUUGGAUUCAAGGUGGCACCAAAAUAGAUUAGAAUACUUUAUUCAUUGGCAUAGAUAUGAUGUUAGUGAAUGUACAUAGGAGCUAUCAAAGAAUCUUGUAAAUGUUAGAAAGAAGAUUGGAAUUUUUCAUUGAUAACAACUAUCAAAACUACAAUGAAGAAUAGAAAAUCUUUACUAUAAAAGAAACAAGAUUUAGAGAAGACAGCAUGCUACCUUCUACUUUUGUUUAUAAUUUUUGUACAUUUGUAAUGCUAAGGAGAUUGAAAAUCAAAAACUAGUAGAUUCAAUUCAAGAGCUAUUACUUAUUGACUUAUUUAAGGAGAUAUUACAAUUAUUACAACCUUCAAGCUGAUGUAAUUAAAAUAAAGAUCUACAAGAAUAAUAUGUCUUUUCUCAAAUAAAUGGCAAGAUACAAUGUGUUUGAUAUCACGACCUUGGAAGAGACUCUUAAUAUUUGGUGAUUUUAUUAGAAGUAACAACAACUCCUAAUAGUAUUCUAAAUUUUUUAUUUGAAGGAAGUUAUAAAGGCCUCAACAAUAAUUAAAUAAUAGAGUGGUCUUCCUACCCUAGUAUGAGAUACUAUUAAUACAUGACAUGACCUAUCAACUAUCUCAAGAAAACAAACAACAAAGUAUGUAGCAAACACAAUUCAUUACAUCUUGAAUUUCUUCAAUAUAUGAUGAUUGUUCUUCAUAGAAUUCAUUCCUAAAAGAGAGGGUAAUAUCAAGAACAUACAUAUUUAUUUUAUAUUUAUCUAUAUAAAUAAGUAGAAGUAGAUAAAAAUAUUUUUUUUUUUAAUAUCUUCUAAAGAAGCUUCUUAGGAGCUUUGUAGAUGCUGCUUUGGCUUUAUAUAUGUUUCUAGUUGAUUAAUAGGUUAUAAAUUUGAUUAAUAAGUUAAUUACAUAUUAGUAGCUUAUAAAAUAAGCUAAUUAUAUAGUGCACAUAUAAAAAACUUAUAUUGCAAGUUAAGAAUAUAUAUUUAACAAAGUCAACAUAUUUUAGAGGUCAUAUAGAACAUUGUCUUAUAGCUCUUAAUUAUUAGUAUAUAUAGAAGGAAGAGUUAAUCAUUUUUCACUCUUGUCAAUGCCUUUCUUGUCCUUAGAUUUGUUUCAAGACUUUCUAGUUUUUUUUUGUCUUUGGCAAUAACUGUUCUAGUUUAAUAUUAUAUCAUCUUUGAGUUUUUUUUUAGCCUUUUUGAAUGACACAAGAAUAUAUUGAUAUUUUAGUUCUUUGAAAUUUAUAUCCUUGAUAUAUGGAUUGAAAAAUAAUUUCAAUUUUUUUUAUUAAUAAUACCAAAAUUAAAUUUUUUUAAAACAAAUUAUUGCUCAAGCUAUUAUAUGUAACAAUCACUUAUUUAAAAGUUAUCAAAAACAAAGAUUUGGCUAAAGAGGAACAAGUCAAAUAAUAAUAGUAGCUCCUAAUUUUUUAGAAAAUUAUUCAUGAAAGUUAAAACUAAUGCAAAUUAAUACAAUAUGUUUUAAAUCUUUCACUGAGCAAAAAAAGAUUCAACGUCAUCAAAAAGGUUUGUACUUAUAUUAUGGAAAAGCUAAGCAUACUACUUGGUAUUAAUCCAAGAAGCAAUGUAAUUAUAAAAUAAAGAGCAUGGUUUUUAAAGAGACUAUAUGUCAAAAAACAAGUUUUUCAAAUUACAGUAGUGAUCUUAUGGCUGAAAUCAUGUGCAACAUUUAAUAAAGGUCAUUUUUUCUCUUCAAAUUUUUUGUCCUACUUUACAAUAGAUGCACAUUUAGGACCUAAAAAUCACAAAGCUUUUUAAGUUAACAAAGAACAUUGAUCCUAUGAUUGUUCAAUUUCAUCUUCAAGAAAGAGCUCAACUGCCAUUUGGACCAUUUGACAAUUUAUUACAAAAUAAUUUGGCUAUAAUAAAAAAAAUAUAUUGAUAAGAAUUUGGUUGAGAACUUCAUACAUUAUUCAAAAUUUUCAGCAAGAGUUCCUAUCUUAUUUGUAAAGAAAAAAGAUGGAUCUCUAUAGAUAUACAUAGAUUAUUGAGGAUUAAAUAAGAUCACCAUAAAAAAUGGAUAUCUCUAACCUUUUGUUUCAAGACUUCUUGACCAAGCCAAUGAAGCAUCAAAAUUACAAGAUGAAUAAAAGACUAUUUUUUGAACUAGAUAUGGUCAUUUUGAAUAUAAUAGCAUAUCUUUUGGACUUACAAAUAUAUCAGCCACUUUUUAAUAUCUCAUGAAUGAUAUUUUUUAUGAAUUCUUUGAUGAUUUUAUUAGAAUAAAAACUUCAUGUUUAUUGUAUCUUACAAAAACUUAAAGAUGCAAGAUUAUAUGUUAAGAUAGAAAAGUAUGUAUUCUACACUAAUUGAGUUGACUUUUUAAGGUACAUCAUUUCUAAUGAAGACUUAAUGAUGGAUCCAAAGAAGACCCAAACUAUCAUAAAUUGGAAGAUUCCAAAGACAAUAAGAGAUAUGCAAUGUUUUUUGGGCUUUGCCAAUUACUACCAAAUCUUCAUCAAGAACUUUUUUCAAGUUGCAAUUCUAUUUAUAUGUUUGAUUUGUAAAGAAAAACUUGAAUAGAAUAAAGAAAUAGAAGCUUUGUUUGAUACUUUGAAGAAAAAAAUUACUUUUAUACUAAUCUUAUAUCAUAUCAACUUUUUUAAGGUAUUUUUUAUGGAAAUAAAUGUAUUAGACUUUGUCUUUAAUAAAGUAUUAUCACAAAUAGAAGCAAAUGAUAAAUUCCUUUUAGUAGCUUUUAAUUUUAAGACAUUUUUAAUACUAGAGAUCAACUAUAAAAUCCAUAAUAAAGAAUUUCUUGUAAUUAUCGAUUCUUUUCAAGAAUAGCAUUAUUAUUUAAAAGAUGCUUCCAAUCUAAUCACUGUAUAUAUUAAUCAAAAGAAUCUUAAGUACUUUAUAUCAAUGUCAAGAAUAAUAACUUAAUAAAAUCAAAUAAUCAAAUGAAACUUUUUUUUAAGAAGUAUGACAAAAUAGAAGUAAAAAAACAUGUAUAUUAAAAAAAUUGGAAUGGCUAUUGCUAAAAGAAAAAAAUAAAAAAUAAAGACUCUUGAAUCUAUACUAAAGUAAGAAAUGAGUUGACAAGAGUAAAGAAGGCUUCAAUCUUGCCUCUAUAUAUAUUAUCCACCUAAGAGCUACGUGGUGAGGUUCUAUAGGACCUCUAACAUGUAUUGAUCUUGCAAGCCACAUGUUUUAACUUAUAAGUAGAGUUUUUUAUGUAUAUAUUAUAUAGUUAGCUUAUUCUAUAAGCUACCUUUACAUGUAAAAUGUGGUUAAUUUUUUGAGCAAGUUUUUAACCUAAAAAUCAAAUAUAAAUACAUAUAAAAUUAAAACCAUAUCUAUAAAGCUUUUAGAAAGCUUUUCUAAAAUAUAUUAUAAAAUUAAUCCAUUUUUAUCUAUUUUUAUCUACUUUUAUCUAAUCAUAUAGAUAAUUAUUAGAAUAAGUAUGUAUGUCCAUAAUAAUUUAUUUGUAACAUUAUCCACCUUUUUAAGAAUGAGUUCCAUGAAGUGCAAUCAUCAUAUGUUGAGAAAAUCUAAGAUGCAACAAAUUAUAUUUGCCACAUACUUUGAUCUUUAUUCUCUUUAAAGAUCAUUGAUAAGUCUUCUCAACCAUCAAUAAUGUUACAUAUGAAGUUAAAAAGAUUAUCUUGUUAUUUAAUCAUUAUUAAGACUUUCAUAACUUCUUUCAAAUAAAAUAUUUGAAAUAUUGUUAGAAAUUGUUCUUACCUCUAAUAAAAUCACCAAACAUUAGGAGUUCCUUCCAAGGUUGUGAUAUCAAAUAUGUUGUAUCUUGCUAUCUAUUCAAAAAAAUAUAUAUUAUUCUUGACGAUCUUCAUCUUCAUUACGUUGUGUUAAAGAUUCAGAUAAGCACAAUGUCUCAUCCGACAAGUCAACAAACAAUAAUUCUUGAGUUGAAUUUGCUAGUUGUAGGUUCUUCAUUUCCUUACCAUUACAAUAUAUACAAAAACUACAAAUAAGGAUAAAAGUUAGAAUAUUAUCUUCUCUUGAUCUUAUUUCUAUUAUAGCAAAAAUUUGAUUUUCUUCAUCUUAAUUUUGAUAGAUAUUAUUGAUGAAAAGCCUUGACCUUUUUUAUUUCAAUUACAAGAUUUAUUGCUAGCUUCUAUGUACAUUCAAUAAUAUCAUACCUAUACCAAUGAAUAAGAUAUUCCAACCUAUUUUGGUAUUGCUUUGAAAGUAAGUCUUCUUCUAUCUCAAAAUCUUCAUUUUUGUCCAUUUCUAUAGAAGAAGGUGGCACAUGUUUUUUUUCUUGGUAUAUUCAUUGUCUUGUAUGAUUCAUAAAAAGAUAUAUAGAAUAUAUGAUGGAUCUUUAUUCAUUUUAGUAUGUGUAAUUGAUAAGCAAUUAAAUUAUUUUGUUCACAAAUAGAAAAUGAUCUAAACUUACAAUAGUCCAACUUGUCACAAGGGCAAAUAGACUUAAUAUUGUAAUGAAAUAAUCAUAUUCAAUCAUCUACAUUAAAUUAUGGUUGUUCCUUGUAAUAGAUAUUUGUGUUUAUCUUUUGCUAUUCUUCAGCUUUUUGUAAUUGCACCUUCAUUACUGCAUGUAGCUCUGAUAAAUAAUUUGCCAAAUCUUCUACCACAAGAUUAUCAACACUUGAAAAGUCAAAAGCAUCAAGUCAUGGAUAAUAACCAUAAUUAAAAAAAAAUAUUUAAUAAAUAGAAAGGUGUACCAUAUUAUUAUUGGAAAAUUCUACAAAGGACAAAAGAAUUGUAUAAUCAUCUCAUUGGCAGUUGAUAAUACACCUAAAAUAUUGCUCCAAUAUUUGAUUAACAUACUUUUUUUGUCCAUCAAUUUGAAGAUGAAAGGCCAAAGAUAAUUUUAUAUCUAUCUUUAGAAUCUUUAAAAAAAAUUCAAAAUCUUAAUAUAAUUUGAAUCUUCCUAUCUAAUAUAAUAUCCUUCAAUAAACCAUGAUAGCAAUAGGUAUUUUCAAAAAAAAACUUGACUAUUUUUUCACAUGUGAUAGAUUUUGUACAUGCUAUAAAAUAUACCAUCAAUGUAAAAUGACCUACUAUCACAAAUAUAGAAUCAUAUAAACUUGAGACUUGAAGAUCUAUGAUAAAAUCCAUAGAAUUAAAAGACCAUGGUUGUUCAAGUAUGGACAAUGGUUAAAGAUGUCUAUAGGUUCAAUGACAAGGAAUUUUUGGCCUUGAAUAAACAUCAUAUGACUGAACAAAGUCUUUCAUUGCCUUCCACAUUUAAAACUAUUAAAAAUAUUUUAAUAUAGGCUCUAAAGUCUUGAUAUAUCAAUAAUAUUGAGCUGCUAUAAAGUCAUGAUAUGCUUGAAGAAUAUGUUGUUAUAUAGUAUAAUUUUCUAUUUAAAAAUAUAUUAACUAUCUAGUUAUAAAGAGUUUAAUUUUAAUUUAUUAAAUAAGUUUUAAUAAGUGAUGUAUUCUUAUUAUAGAGGCCAAAUAAAUAUAAUAAUAUCAAAAGAUAUUUUAUUAAUAAAAUUCUUUUAUAUUUAAGAAGCUUCAUGCAUAAGGCUUUCUAAAGCAUCUGAAAAUGUCAUAACAUCUUUUGCUAUAUUAAAUUAAAAUAAUUAUUUGCUAGUAAGCUUGAUUUUUAAUAAGCUCAAAGAAAAUCCAUAAUCUUCUUUAAAAAAUCCAUCUUUAUAUCAUAAUUUUUCUAUAGCUCAAUAUCUCCAUUUUUAACAUAUAUAUAAAGUCUUGGCUUCCAAAAUCCCUUUUAUUUUGCAUAAAAUAUCCCAAUUAUAGUAAAAGAUUUUUAAAAUAUUUUUUUCUAUAAAAGAUUUUUUUCUCUAAAUUUUAGAAAUUCAUAUCUCUUAAUCCAACCAUUCAAUUUUUUCAAAUUUUUAAAUAAUCUAUACUUUAUCUUUAAGCUUUAUUACAAAAAAAUAAAAAAUAAAUCUAUUACAGCUCAUCUAGCAUCUUAAAAAUCCUAGCAGGUGCUUUAAAUUCUAAUUUAUUAGUACUCAAGUAAUAUUUUCUUUAUAUUUCAAAAUCCAAAAAUUUAAAUACUAUAAAAUUUAUAUAUAUAAUUUAAUAACAUGAUAACAUACAAAAAAAUUUAGCCAAAAUCUUAUCAAAUUACUCAAAAUAUUGCUCAAAAUACAACCACUAGUAAAUCGGAUUACUUACUAUCCUUAGAUUACAAGUGCUGACUUCAACUUCCUAUAAUUUCUUCAACCUAGCUUAGAAUUUAUCAAAUAGUAUAUGAAAAGUAUAGUCAAAAAAGUACUUUCUUCAAUUCCAGUCGCCAAACUUUCAUUGCUUUCUAUAUGCAUGCAUUAUGUCUAAAAAAAUGACAAUAGGUACCAAACCAAUACCUUAAUUUUGAGCGCCUAUAUUUUUUUAUAAAAAUUCCAACUCACACAAAAUUUAUACCAAAACCAUAGCCAAAAAUUUAAAUUCUUUGAUUCUAGCCUCUUAAGUUUGAAAGACCUCAAAAGAAUAAUCCUAAUCCCUAAUAAGGCCAUGAGUAGCCUCUUUGAAGCCCAUUAGACAUGCCUUUUGAUCAAUAGCAAUGGAGAUUUUUAUCAUCUAUCUCCAUUCAUCCAUAUAGAUGUCUUUAAUAUUCUUUUUGCUACCAAAAUUCCUCUCCAAUCUUUUUUCUUAUAAGAUUUACAUAAUAUAUGCCUUAAAUAUCAAAUAAAAAAAUAAAAUAAGAUUCUAAAAGUCACUAAUAUAUAAUAAAUAUAGCUUUAAAUAUAAAAAAUUAUUAUCAAUAUAAAAUCAACUUUAAUAAUAGUCUUUUUAAACUCACCACUUCAAAAUAAUAAUCUAAAUAUAUUUUGUAACUAACUAAAAUCUAAUAAUAUGGCUCUUAUUACAUUGUAUAGUAAAUUAUACAUUAAAUAUUUAUAUGUAUUAUUUUCAUAUAGUAGCUGAAUCACAGUACAACAAUAUAAACGUGCUUAUUUUUUUGAAAUACAUAAGUGUCUUUGGAAAUAAAAUAGAUUAUUCUUCAAAUCAAACUUAGAAAUAUUAUGAGUCUUAGAAGACCAGUUUUUAAUAUCAUAAAAAAAAUGGAUCAGAGAACAUACUUAAUUUAAUUUAUUUGACAAAGGUUGAAUCAAUAGUCAAUUUUAUUUUACUAUUCAAAAAUAAAAAUGAUCCGACUUCAAGAAAAUUAUUCUUUGUUAAUCAAAAGAUGCGUCUCAUUUUUUUGAUGCAAGAUAAGAAUAUUCAGAAAUGGCAUUUGACAAAUCUUAUUAUUUUUUGAAUCUAUAAAUGACAUUGAAAUCAAAUGUUCACAAAGAUAUGUUCUUAUAGACUUGCAAUAAUUGAAAACAAGUGCUGACAUAAAAUAUUUAAGAUUCUUGUAAUUCGCAUAAAUAAUGACUAGAUUACAAGGGCCUUUUGAUAAUUGCACCAUUUUUAAAACAAAUCCAUAAUUGCAAGUUCUUUAUCAUGAAUCUUAUAGUUGAUCUUGGCUAUUAAAAAUUUUCAUAAAUGAAAAGCUUAUAGGUGAAGUUUAUCAUUUAUUCCCAUUUGUAAUAAUACAACAUCUAAAGUAAAGUUUGAUGUAGCUAAUUCUAUAAAGAAUGGCUUAGAAAAGUCAAUACAAUACAAGAUUAGUACAUAAAUAAAAGUUAUCUUCAAAGCUUUGAAUGUUGCUUCUGCUUCUUAAUUCCAUUAAAAUUUGUCUUUACAAGUCAAACAUGUAAGUGAAGAUGCAACUUUAAAAAUAUCUUUCAUGAAUAUCUAAUAGAAAUUGGUAAAUUUUAAAAAGUAUUAAACAUCUUUUAUUAUUUUUAGAAAUUUUUAAUCCAUAAUAAUUUGAACUUUCUUAAAAUCCAUUAUUUGAAAUGAUAUAUCCUAAAAAGUUGAUUUGAGUAGUGUAAAAUAUAUAUUUUUCUAUUUUGGCAUAGAGUCCUACAUCUCUUAGUUUUUGUAAUAUACAAUAAACAAGAAGUUCAUAUUCUUUUGUGUUUUUAGAAUAGAUUAAGAUAUCAUUUAAGUAAUAGAUAAUAAAGUCAUCUAAAAACUAUCAAAAAAAAUCAUUCAUUAGAUGUUGGAAAGUUGUUGGUGCAUUUGUAAGUCCAAAAGACAUGAUGUUGUAUUUGAAAUAUCUUUACCUAAUUUAAAACGUAGUCUUUUAUUUAUUUCUUUUUUUAAUGUGUAUUAGAUUAUAUGCUCCUUAUAGAUUUAUUUUUGUAUAAAUCUUAGCUUGAUUCAAUUGUUUAAGAAGUCCAAAUAUCAAAUGUAGCGGGUACUUCUUCUUGAUGGUGAUUUUGUUGUAUCCUUCAUAAUUUAUACACAUCCACAAUAAUCCAUAUUUUUCCUUUAGAAAUAAAAUUAAAGCUCUUGCUGGAGAUUUGAAAUGGCUUAUGAAAUUUUUAGACAAUUUUUUUUCAAUAUACUCCUUGAAUUCAACUAAUUAAUUUUACAAUGAACUAUUGAUUGGUCCAAAUAGAGGUGGAGCUCUUUCUUGAAGGUCAAUUGAAGAAUCAUAAGAAUGAUGUUCUGAAAAAAUAUCCACAUUUUUCUUCUCAAAUAUAUCUUUAAAAUCUUGAUACUAGCUUGAAAUACCACUUAAAGUCUUUUUACCUUUAAAAAAAAAUGCAACAUAAAUGACAUAAGAUAAUAUUUCUUUUGCAACAUGCAAAAAAGCUCUUGCACCUAUAAAUAAAAUUUUAGUUGUACUAAACUUAUGACUUUUUACUUGAUUUAUUACACUAUUAGUUAUACUUUUAAAAAAUUCAAGACUAUGAAAAAUCUAAUCUAUUUUACAAUUAUAUUUUUUUAGCCAUGAUAAACCUAAAAUGACUAGAUUAAAGUAAUAUCUAGUAAUAUUAAAUAUUACAAAGCUAUUAUAACCAUUAAUUGUUAAUUCUAUAGGAAGGAUUUUAUGAGUAAUAUCUUGUGAAGAUAAAAGUUGAUCAUCUAUGACUUCUAAGUGAACAAGUUUAGUUUUCUUUACUAAAGAUAUGCUAUGUUUUUUAGCAAAUUCUUCAUCUAAAAAACAUAUUGAGGCUCCUCAAUCUAACAAGCCAAAGACUUUAUAAUAUUUAGGUUCUAAAAUAAUAUUUAUUAUAAAAUAAAGAGAAAAUUUUGUGGAGAGAAUUUUGUAGAGAGAAUAUGACUUUUAUUAGGUAUUGUAUAAGGUUCCAAUUGCAUAAUGUCAAUUAUAGUUGGAUAAACUCACUUUUUGACAUACUAUCUUUUUUGAUAGCUAUACUCUUCAUUUUUUGGUUGUGUCAUUUCUUUGAAUAAUAUUGACUAGUAUGCUUAGAUAUUCUAUAAUAUAAGUAUAAUAUUUUUUAUUAAUAAUGAGUCUUUUUUUGCUUAAUAAGAAGUUUGAAAUAUAUUACAUCAAUUUAUAUAUCUUCUACUUUUAAAUGUAUAUAUUGAGGAGAUAUUGGUAUUGACAUUGAAUUAUAGUAACAUUAAGAUGUGCUUAUUGUCAAGGAUAUGAACUAAAAGAUGAUGCAUAAACCAAUGAAAUCCGUGUCAAAGAAAGAGUAACAAAAUACAAAUAAGAAAGUACGUAUAUUAAAAAGAAAUUGGAAUGGCUUAUUACCAAAAGACAAAGAAACUUGAGACUCUUGAAACUAGACUAGAAGCAAGAAAGGAGUUAACAAGAGUGAAGAGGGCUUCACUCUUGUCUCUAUAUAUACUAUCUAAUUAAAGGCUACAUUGUCAUACUGUAAUUGCUUACAGUAUGUAAAAAUUAAUUAAAAUAUAUAAUAUGUUUGUAAGUCUUGAUGUAGAUUAGAGUGAUUAGUAAAUGAAUUUAAAGAGAAUUGAUAUAAGAAAAUUUCUUUAGAGAUUUAUCUAUUUUGAUUAUAGUGUUUAUAUUAUGUAGGAUUUAGAUAUUUAAUAUAAAGCUUAACAGAAGGUUGGGGCCUAAAGAAGAAAAUCUUGACUAAUAGGAGGCUUAUUGGAAGGGAUGAAAGCAAGGUAUGGUUGGAUAAAGGCAAAGAAUGGGAAACUUCAUUCCUAUUGAUCAAAGGCCAUGCCCAAUGGGCUUCAAGGAGGCUGCCCGAGGUCUUAUUAAGGAUUAGGAUUUUUCUUUCGAAUUCAUUCGAGCUUUGGAGGCUAGAAUCAAAAAGUUCAAGAUUUUGGGUAUAAUUUGGAUGAAGAGUUUGUGUGAUUUCGAGUUUUUGUGAAAGAGAUAUAGAUGUUCAAAGUUAAGGUAUCAAAUUUGUACCUACUAACACUCUUUGAAGUAUAACAUAUGCGUACAGAGAGCAAUGAAAGAUCGACAAUUGAAGUUGGAGAGGACACUUUCUUGACUACACUUUAUAUGUACUGUUUGAUGAAUUUCAAGUCUAGAUGAAGGAGUUAUAGACAUUUGAAGACAACACAUGUAAUUCAAAGGCAGUAGAUGAGUCAUUUUGUUGAUAGUAAUGGUUGGAGCCAUAUCUUGAGUUUUUAGACAAAUUUUUGGCUCAAAAUUUCCAUAAAUAUGUGUUAUUAAGUUAAGAAGCUAUAAAUCAAAGUUUCAUGAUAUUUUACUUAUUUUGUGAGAUAUGAAGAAAUUAGCAUGUCGAUAUAAGUAAGCUAGGGUUUAAAGCUAUUGCUAGGAUUUUAGUGAUAUCUCAAGAUCCAUAACGAAUUUGUAGUUGAUUUUUUUUGUGAAAGUUUUUAAAAGUAUAUUAGUACUUCAUAUAAAAUUUAAAGUUGUUUGGAUGGUCCGAUCGUGAGAUAUGAGCUAUUGAAGUUUGGAAAACAUCUCUCAUAAGGAUAUAUAAGGUUUUAAGAUCUUUAUCAUACAUUUGGGUGUUUUCUUGGUACUUGGGCUUGUGUUUUGAUGUAAUUGCCCAAAAAGAGAAAAUAUUAUAUGUAUAAACUUGGUUUUUUAUAUCUUAGACUUGAUUGAGUAUUUAGUGGUAGCCAGAAGCCCAGCGCUUUCUUGAGGCAAACUCUCUCUACUCCGACAAUGUGGUGAUGUUCUAUAGGACCUCCAAUAUGUGUUGCUUUAUAGGACACAUGCCUUAACUUAUAAGAUAAGUUUUUCUACAUGUGGGCCACAUAGUUAGUUUGGUCUUCAAGUUAACAACAUAUGUGGUACAUGGCCAACUUGUUGACCACUUUAGUAAUCCAAAAAAUCAAUUAUAGACACCUAUAAAGUCAAAACAGCAUCUAUGAAGCUUCUAAAAAGCUUUUGUAGAAGAUAUUAUAGAACUAACUUACUUUUAUCUACUUCUACUUAUUUCUAUAUAUUUAUACAAAUAAUUAUUGGCUUACAUGUAUAUGUCCAUGACAUUACUCCCUCUUCAAGGGAUGAGUUCCAUAAGGAGCGGUCAUCAUAUGUUGAAGAAAUCUAUGAUGCGAGAAAUUAUAUUUGCCACAUAUUCAGAUCUUUAUUCUCUUUGAAGAUGGUUGAUAGGGUCUCUCAACUAUUGAUAGUGUCGCAUACCAAGGCGAAAAGACCACCUUAUUAUUUGAUUGUUGUUGAGGCCUUCAUAACUUUCUUCAAAUAAAAUAUUUGGAACACCAUCAAGAAUUAUUCCUACCUCUAAUAAAAUUACUAAACAUUUAGAAUCUCUUCUAAGAUUGUGAUAUCAAAUAUGUUGUAUUUUACCAUCUAUUCGAGGAAAAAUAUGUUAUUCUUGAAGAUCUUCAUCUCGAUUUCAUCGUCUUGAAGGUUGUAACAAUCAUAAUGUCUCGUCCAACAAGUCAAAAAAAGAAGGUUCUUUAAUCAAAUCCGCUGGUUGUUGGUUUUCUAUCCCUUUAGUGUGACAACUACAAAGAAGCUACAAACAAGGAUUGAGAGUAGAAUGUUAUCUUACCAAGAUCUUGUUUCUUUUAUAUGAAAGGUUAUCAUCUUGAUUUUGAUGGAUGUUGUCGAUGAAAAGCCUCCACCACCUUUGCUAUAUUUGUAAGAUUUUUUACUAGCUCUCAUGUACAUUCACUAAUAUCAUAUCCAUACCAAUAGAUAAGUUAUUCAAAUUUAUUUUGACAUUGCCUUGAAUCUAGGACUUCUUCCACUUCGAACUUUUUAUUAUUGUCCACUUCUAUAGGAAGAGAUAGAGCUUGUCUUCUUUUUGAUUUGUCUACUAUCUUAUAUAGUUCAAAAAGAGACAUGUGGAAUAUUGGAUGGAUUUUUAUUAACUCUAAUAGAUGUAAAUAAUAUGCAACUGAAUUGAUUUGUGCAGAAAUAAGAAAUGGUCCAAGCCUACAAUAGUCCAACUUGUGACAAGGAUGAGUGGUCUUGAUAUUGCGACAAAGUAACUAUAUCUUGUCAUCCAUGUGGAAUGGUAGUUAUUUCUUUCGAUAGACAUCCACAUUGAUCUUUUGUUGUUCUUGAGUUUCUUUUAAUUGUACCUUCAUUGUUACAUGUAGCUCUAACAAAUGAUUUGCCAAAUCUUCUGCCAUAGAAUUAUCAAAUUUUGAAAAGUCAAAAGUAUUAAGUUAUGGAUGAUAACCAUAAUUGGCAAAGAAAGGUGUUUAUUUUGUAGAAGAAUGUAUCGU
rnacentral:lncRNA from 1 species